UAUACUUGGGUGAGAACUAUUUCGAGGGUCACAUUCCAGCUUCCCUAGGAAAUCCUCCAGGUCUACGAGAGAUAGAUCUCUCAACGAAUUAUUUCACCGGCCAAAUCCCAAAUUCUUUGGGAAACCUUUCACUGCUGUCUUCUCUGAACCUUGAUCAAAACAUGCUUCAAUCAACAGACAAUGAAGGUUGGGAAUUCAUCCAUGCCCUGGGAAAGUGUAGAUCUCUAAAAAGACUUUCAUUGUCUAUUAAUAGGCUACAGGGAGCCAUACCAAAUUCUAUUGCAAACCUGUCCAGCACUCUUACAUAUCUGCUAAUGUCUGAAAACAGUCUAUCAGGAACAGUUCCCCCACGUAUUGGAAAAUUUAGUUCCUUAAUUCAACUAUCACUAGAUCAAAACAAUCUUACCGGUACAAUUGAAGAAUGGGUCGGAAAUAUGACAAAACUAGAACGUUUGAAUCUCCAAUCAAACAGCUUUGUCGGGAUAAUUCCACCUUCCAUUGGCCAACUUAUACGGUUGAAAUAUUUAUUUCUUGAUGAAAAUCAAUUCACUGGGUUUAUACCACCUAGCUUUGGAAACCUUAAAUCAUUGUUGCAGCUGCACCUUAGCUACAACAAUUUCAAAGGGGGCGUACCAUAGAGUUUUUGGAAAUCUUAUGAAUCUCAUACAUUUGGACCUUAGUAAUAACAAUCUACAAGGUGGGAUACCCUAGGAGAUUGGUAACCAAAAACAACUUGACAUCCUCCUCCUGUCAUCAAAUAAACGAACUGGAGAAUUUCCAGCUACUUUAGGCCAAUAUCCAGUCUUCACUAACCAUCAAAUGGACCUUGCAUGGAAACACUAAAUCAUUCCCAUAACAACUUGUCAGGUCACAACCCUUUGGCUCUAAGUGAUCUACAGUUUCUUAGUGUGCUAGACCUUUCAUAUAAUCAUCUCGAAGAAGUACCAAGAAAGGGAGUAUUUGAAAAUGCUAUAGCUGUUUAUCUUGACAGCAAUUGUGGACUUUGUGGAGGAGCAAAGGAUCUCCAUAUGCCUUUGUGCCAUAUUGAUUCACCAAGAACAGAGAAUCGGUACUAUUUGGUCAAAGCAUUGAUACCACUGUUUUCCUUCAUGUCAACCCUACUGUUGAUUUACUUCAGAAGAAGGGAUCAAGAAGGGCAUAUUUAUGGCUGCCAACCUUUGGGAAAAAAAUUCCCUAAUGUUUCUUACAGGAGUCUAGCUCAGGACACAGGGAACUUCUCUGAGUCUAACUUGAUUGGAUAUGGAGGCUGCAGUUUAGUCUAUAAAGGGAGGUUAGUCCAAGUUAAAAUGGAGGUGGCUAUCAAGAUUCUUGACACUGAAGAGCAAGAUGCGGAGAAAAGCUUUCUAGUAGAGUGUGAACUUCGGAGAAGUAUUCGCCACCGAAAUAUUCUACCUCUCAUAACCACAUGCUCCACAAUUGACAAUAAAGGCAAUACCUUCAAAGCUCUAAUUUAUGAAUUUAUGCCUAAUGGAAACAUGGACACUUGGCUGCAUUAUCAAGGGGACGGCAGAACUCCAGAAUGUUUAGGCUUAUCUCAAAGAAUAAAUACAGCUAUUAACAUAGCCGAUGCAUUGGCCUACUUACACAAUGACACUGGAAGGCCCAUUGUCCAUUGUGAUUUAAAGCCUAGUAAUAUCCUGCUAGAUGUUCAUAUGAAUGCUUACUUGGGUGAUUUUGGCGUCGCAAGGUUACAUAUUGAUUCUAAGUUGAGAUCAGUUGGCGAUUCAAGCUCAGCCUGUUCAACGAGUGCAAAAGGAACUAUAGGGUAUAUGGCUCUAGGUAGAACUUUAUCCUUCUAGGAUUUUUACAAAUUAUAUUAACAUGAACCAUAUUUUGCAAGUUGUUAUGCACUGAUUAUCACUUUUAUGUCUAUGAUUAGAGUAUGCAGGAGCUGGUAAUACAUCAACUUUUGGAGAUGUUUAUAGUUUUGUAAUAGUACUUCUUGAGAUGCUGACAGGCAAAAGACCAACAGAUCACAUGUUCAGGAAUGACUCACCAUUAUUAGCUUUGUGUGGAAAGGUACUUUCCCAAUCAGAUACUAGAUGUUGUCGAUACUCAUUUGCUAGAAGAAUCCAAGGCGUUCAUCGAAGCAACUGCGGCGACAGAAAAUCUUAAGAUCUUCCUGUGCUUGUUGUCUUUGCUACGAGUAGCACUUAUUUGUACACGCCAAAACCCAAGAGAACGAAUUAACAUGAGAGAAGUAGCAGCCAGAUUAAGUGCAAUCAAGAUGUCAUACGUGGGACUGUGGGAGGAAGAGUUAAGGGCUAAACUUCGUUCAAGAGACUCAUAAGUUGGGCUUCUCACAGGAGUUGAAGGAAGAAAGAAAAUGGUAAAAGUUUAAGCUUCUCGAUACAAUAGGGACUCUGCUUGUAGAACCAAAUUUGAAGAUUUUUGAAUGCUUUAGUGAAUUGAUUGAGUUAUACAAAAACAGCUUCAUUGGUCAAAUUCCUAUUUCUCUUGGCAAGCUCAUUAGCUUGCGCACUCUAUCCCUUGGGAGAAACAACCCUAGCUUGAAGCAAACGACAACCAAAGCUGGGAAUUCUUUGAUGCGUUGAAAAAUUGUAGCCUUCUACAAUAUCUCAUUCUAGGCAACAACCGACUAUAGGGAGUUAGAACACCUUCGGUUGGUAGCCUAACCACCAAUCUUAUAGUAUUACAAUUAAAUUGGAACAACCUUUCGGGAAUAGUUUCGCCAAGAAUACGAAACCUUUCCGGUUUAAUUCAACUAGGAUUAAGCUACAACAAUUUUACUGAACAAAUGAAUAAUGGAUUGGAGGAACUCUUAAACAUAUCUAGCUAUAUCCAUUGGAACAACUUUGAUGGGCCAAUUAUUCUCUACGACGUAUUACUCAGUUAGAAAGACUCUUACUACCAGAAAGUGAAUUUGAUGGUUCAAUACCACGUAUAGCUUAGGAGACCCUCAACAACUUUCCUGGUUGGGCCUUAGUAAUAACAAUCUUCAAGGAAACAUACCUCCCCAGCUUGGCAGCCUUAAAAAACUCACUGAUCUUCAUCUUCAAUCAAGCAAACCCACUAGGCCCCAUAGACUGCCAAGUGAGCUUCUGUCCCGUGAUCUUUUUUCCAGAAACUCCUUUAUGUCUGUGUUCUGUUGGUUAUCAGACUGCUUUGCUGAUGUUGCUUCUCCAUACAAAUCAUAUAUUCAUAUCCAAGAGGAAAUAUCAAAAAUGGAGUAUUUGCAUAUGCGACAGCGCUGUUUCACUAGAUAGCUAUUUAGGACUCUGUGGAGGAGUUACUAAUCAUCUGAAUAUGCUCUCAUGUCCAGCGGUUUCCCAGAGAAUACAAAGCCGAUAUUUUUCUAAUAAGAGUACUGAUCCAAGUAUUUGGCUUCAUGUCAAUUAUGUUGUUGAUCUGUACAUUGACGGACAAGAAGGUUCCAAGUAAAAUAUAUUUAUUGUUGCAGCAUUCAUUUGGCAAGUAGUUCCUACAAAGAUCUAGCUCAAGAGACAGCAAACUUUUUUCUGGAUCGAACCUACUUAGGAGAGGAAGCUAUGGCUCUGCGAUUGCUAUCUCUAGUGCAGAUCGCUCUUUCUUGCACUCGUGUAUUCCCAAGAGAAACAAUAUUGAACAUGAGAGAAGUUGCCAGUAAGUUGCAAUCAAUCAGAAUGACAUACGUGGGAUCGACCAAGAGAAAACAAGUCCUGAUUCAUAUUUAGUAGAGUAUUUUACAAUGUGACAGGAAUAUUCUGUAGGCAGUUUAGGUUCUCUUUGAAUGCAAUGGGCACAAAGUUGGUAAUUCAGCCUAUGAUUUCGCAUGUUAAAAAAGAACAAGAUACCCUGCUACUGCUAAGCUGCAGCCUGUUGGUGGUGAAUGAUGAACAGUGUCCAAUACCAUCAUAUUAAGAUUUGGCUUUUGAGCAUUUGGAAAAUUGGAUUUGAUAAAGUAUCAGUAAGUUGACAAAGUAUUCAGAUCGCUUCUAUGGUAGCGUGUGACUGUAACACUGAGUGGUGUUUUAAACCGACGUUACAUGGAUACGUCAGGGAGGUGCCGUAUCCUGUAUUGUAUACGUAUCCAUAUCGGAUACGGCCAGGAUACGUGAUGGAUAAAUAUAGUAAAUGUUGAUACGUGGGCCCACACGUAUCGGGCUGAUUUUGCGAUACGGCCUAGUCCAAAUCCACCUCUUAUCCACACACCUGCUACCUACUCGCUACAGCCCCCACCCCGACAUCCUCACGCAUUGCGCUGCCGGCCCCUCGCUCCCCCGCACGGUGGUCACAUGAGCGCCUCCACCUGCUGGAGGGGGCACCAGGCCGGCGUCCGCCAGAGAAGGACCUCUGCCAGGGGACGCUCCGUAGCUCUGAUUUGCCUGCGAAGAAGCUCUGCAGCUCUGACAACCAAGCUCACGACGGAACUAAUUGCCAAGGCGGCGACAUUCUGUGAGUUUCUUCCUCAUCAGCUUGUUUGGUGGCUCUUCCCUUUCUCGAUCUACAUUUGUUCUUCGGUUCUUGAUAUUUUGCUGCUCAAUUUUCCGAUUCCCUUCCUCAUCCUAAUCUUUCGCCAACAGAUAGCAGCACCAAAUUCGAGCGUGCUAGUUCUACUUUUUCUUUGCCUACCGGCUAACGCUCCUCUUUCAAGCAAUAACGAUAAGAAGAACAAGAGUGGAUCCGACCUGCUUCACCAAUUGACAAAUUUUUAGCAUUGCACCUGGUUAUUGUUGUAAAAUUUGUUAUGCAUUAUUUUUAUAUAUUAAAAAAUUGACUAAAUGUAUCGGCGUAUCGUAUUGUUUGGAAAAAUCACGUAUUUGCGUAUCUGUAUCCGUCCGAUACUUUAUGAUAAAUGGAACGACGCAGCUAAUCGACCGCAAGUCCGCAAUCUAGCUAACAACCGCUCGGAUCCCUAAUCCGAACCUCAAACUACAGUCACUCAAAAAGUUAAGGUCGACGAGAUGCUGUGCAUACCGUUAGUGCGGCCGCUGGUCAGCCGCCUGCUUCGCCGUCCGCCGCUGCCCGCAACUGCGACUGCUCCACGCUCUGUCCCAGACGACGCGCGCCGCCUGCGCUCGCGUAGUGGCCGAUUUCUUCCGCAACGGCGCGGUGCCGCCGCGGUGGGACCGUGGGAACCGCUUCGUCGCUUUGUGACCGGUGAGAUUUUGCCAGUCUGUAGCCGUCGUUGGGCAAGAAGGCCGACGAGGCUUUGUUGGCUGGGCCGUUUUUGUUUUUGGGCCAUGGCACGAUGACCCAGUCCGCUCUUCUUUGGAUCUGUUCAUGUCGUGCACACAACAGGUGGCGAAUCAGUUCCAACCUUUUUGUUAGCCUCUUGCUUGCCUCAAGAUUUCCAGGAAUUAAUUCUGGCCCUGGGAUAUAGUAGAAAAUUGGUGCUUAAUGGUGACGAAAUUUCCAGGAAUUAAGGGAGCUCCUGCUCUCAAUCUCCAAGUUCAAUCACUCGAAACAAACAAGCCAUAGAACAUGCAAGGUUAUUCAGCUUCUGCACAUUACCAUAUACGUACUUAUGAACAAUGUUAUCUGAAUACAACAACGUCAGGAGUGCAACUUCUUGUUAAGUCAAAUAAUAACAUUGAUUACUUCACCACAUGCUAAUGUAGCUUCCAAAACAUCGACAAAAAAAUAGUUAAACAUAGCGCAAUACAAUUGUACUGUAGACACAGCUACAGUCGCAAUACAACAAUGUUUAGUUUGGCUUGCACAGAAUUUUUUUCUUGGACGAACGGGCACACAAAACUGUGCACUAUUUCUAUUAAUAUAGAAGGAGUAACAAACGGGCAGCCAUGGAAGGCUCCCUCUCCCUACAUGCUAAAAAAAUGUACAAGUGUAAAAGACUAAAACUGAACAGAAAAUUUGGAUCUAUACACUUCUAGGAUGGUUUAAAUUCACAAAGUUCUUUCUUCAAAGAAUUUAUCCAGAUGCACAACCUUUAACGGACUAGCACAAUAAAACACGAGGUUGUAUAUUUCCUUAAGACAUGAAAGAACGUGGUGUCAUGAAAGAAUUUGCAUCCUCAAACAGAACAAAUGAUGCAUGGAUGUAACUCAUCCUCAGAUCUAGUGUCGCUCAAAUUGAUUGGGGAGGUGGUGACUACGCUUUCGGGCUGCGGCUAACCCUGCUACCCCAUUGGACGAUGCGCUGGCUCCAGAAUGCAAACCAUUAUUGGUGAUACAGUGGUUUCCGUGUGAGCUUUUUUUUUCGGAGCCCUUAUGAACAUGUAGGUGAGGGAAUCAAAGGACGUAGCACAUAGGGGUCGCUCAUGGUUUUGGCGUCGUGUCCGGCGGCCAAAUACAUUCCGUUGCGUGACCACCCUGCGCGAGACGACACUGCACAAGCGGACGCGGCGGCCUCAUGACUCAUGCGUGCAAUGAUCGUUGCACCUCGUUCCCUUGCCGUCGGGAUGCGUGUGAUGAUCGUGACUACGGUUUCUCGCAUACUUCCUCCGUUUCAAAAUGUAGAUUUUUAAUUUUUUUAAGUACAUAGAUUUUACUAUAUAUCUAGACAUUACCGUAUAUUUAAGUGCACAGUAAAAUUUAUGAAAUUAGAAAAAAUCAAAACGAUCUACAUUUUGGAACGGAGGGAGUGGAGAUAGAUGCUGCUAUGCUGCCGCAUGUGCGACGAAGCUAGCUUAUGUACACAGUUUACCCUGUAGCAUAGAUCUCUGGUCAGUAGAUAGAUGUUUUGUUCACGAUUCCCUUAAUUACUGCAAGUGGUGCACAAAUUACGACUAGCGCCCAUAAACCUUCAACAAGAUGCAAGCUGUAUCCGGCAUACCAGGGUGGAGAAUGGCCCUUAUACAGUCGUACUGCUGUACAACCACUGAUUUCACAAUUCAGGACUCACGUCCUAUACUCCAAGUGCCUGAUUUUUUCCUUACCUUUUACUUUUAUUCCAGUCGCCAGCAAGUUAACGGCAGCGGCUCUCUGGUGGAACUUGCCGGGUGGUGGCAAGCCUGGCUGUGAGGGCAGGACCGCAGGAAGGCAGGGCUAGGGAUGCGGGGCGGGUUUUUUUGGCCGCGAACCUGCUGGGUGAGCCCGUACCGUGAAUCCACGUAACCCGCGUAAUUGCAGCGGUCCAAGCGGGCAUGCCCGCCGUACUCAACGGCGCCGCAAGCGUCAUUCAUACGAGCGUGAAAAUUCUUAUCUUCUCCUAAUAGUACAACAGGCCGUCCCUAGUCACUGCUUUGACUUUUUAUCAACCAGCGGCUGGUAUGUUGCUUAUAUAUGGAGCCACGGCAACUUAUGUAACUAGAUUUUGUGUUUGUUGAAGAUUUUUUUACCUCACGAUCUUGUAAUAAGUGUGCACAUGAAUUAGCUCGAUCUAGUUUGAGUUGGGACUCGGAUCAGUCAUGUGUUUGGCUUAAUCCCCUACCGGAAUUUGUAAAGUUAUUAGCAGUUCAUAAUUUUCCUGAACCACAGACAAAACGAUUUGUAGUGAUGCCCAUUGUUUAGCGACGGGCGAAAUUACCACCUGCACCUACAAAACGUGGGGAGGAGGAUUACUGUAGCAUCCGCACCGCCCCUGGAGAAACAUUUGCAGGGACGGGUCACGAGGACCCGCCCCUAGAAAUGGGCACUAUUUCCAAGGGUGGGUGAUGCCGAUACGUCGCCAAGAAUUUUUUACAACAAAAAGAAAAAUAAUUUGCAGGGAUGGGUGAUGGCGUCAUCCGUCCCUAAAAAUCUUUUCUAGGAGUAGGUGAUGGUGUCACCCGCCCCUUUCCCAGGGCAGGUGACUGCUAAUGCCUCCUAUAUAAGGCAGUCCGCACCGGGGACUUAGCCAAAAAUUCACAGAAGCGCGCGGGACGUCGUUAGGCUGCCGAAUUUUCACUUCCCUCCCCCGAUCUGCCGCCCCCUCCCCCAUGGGCUCCACCACCGCAGUGCCUCCCCUUCCCCCCGGGCCACCGCGCCACGCCUCCUCCCCUCCCUCACGGCGCCUUCCUGUCGCGGCGCCUCCCCUCCCCGCUGCCUCCACCGCUGGGCCAUAGCGCUGAGCCUCCUCCCCUCCUCCCGUGGUGCCUUCCCAUUGCGGUGCCUCCUCUCCCCGCGUCUCCCCUCCUGUGCCGCCUCCACCACCAUGCCUCCCUUUCCACGGGCUACCGCCAUAGCGCCUCCCUCCCCCGCGCGCCUCCCUUCCCCGCGGUGCCUCCGUCCACGACCGUCAGUUUCUUAAUUUUAUUUUAUUUUCUUUUUAUUUUUUUAUUUUGAUUUUAUUUUAACUAUGAGCCGUACUCUCUCCGUCCCAAAUUACAAGUUAUUUUGGCCUUUUUAGAUUCAUAGACUUUGUUAUGCACUAAGAUAUACACUAUAUCUAGAUGCAUAAUAAUAUCUAUGCAUCUAGAAAAGCCAAAACGACCUAUAAUUUGGGAUGGAGGAAGUAGUACUUAGUGUAAAACAACAAUUACAAAUUUCUUCCAUUAUCUUAGACAAUCUUUUAUCCUUAGCAUUUCGUGAAUUAUGAUGUUUUACGGCGCAAUUAUUAUUAAAGUUGAUGUUUGUGGAAUAAUCUAUCUUAUUACAAUUUUAUUUGGAUAGUUUGUGCUAAGUAUGGCAAAUAGACAUUCUUUUCGCCACGGUGGUGGCGGUCGUGGAAGUGGCAGGGAACACUACAUUUUCGAGGAGCCACCGUUGGUUCGUCCUCCGGGAAUUCACUUCCCUAAUCGCGUCAUUGACUUGCCUACCGACGAUCGAAGUAAAGGAGCAAUUUCCAAUAUAGUAAUUCCUAAUUUUAUUACACAUGCAUAUAGUUCCCAAUAUAGUAAUAUUAUUUCCUUCUUGUAAUUGGUUGUUUUAUUACACAUUAAUAAUUUCUUUUUACUUACAUACAAUAUAGCUUAUGGACCCUAUUAGAUGGCUCAAAGAUGUUGUCGAAGCUCUAGAUGGUACCACUCCUUUAGUGUAAUCCGAGGUUGGUGGUGCAAGUAAUUUUAUAAGACUAAAGAUCUCUUUUGAAGUACCUGUUCGAGGAGGAUAGGCCAACUUGAUGCGACGACCAGGAUAGGCUAUUCCGAUGGUAUCAAUUGUCGCAUGAGGUAAAGAAGCAGCUUGACUUUUGAAAAGCCCGUCGUAAAGGCAUGCCUACAACAACUGGAUAAUGGGUACUUUAUGCCAGGCUUCUUAUAUUUUCGAAUAAAGACGCUCGAGGAGAGAGAAAGCAAUGUGACUAUGACUACUGUGAGGUUUUAUCAGCUGAAUCAACAUGACAUGGUAUGUAAUAUAUCUAUUCAUUCUUACAUCUUUAGUUAUGUUACAUCUCUCAACUUUCAUCACAUUAUUUUUAUUUUUAGGAUAUCUUUGGUCAAAUAUUUGCGGCAAUGAGAUUUCAUACGAUUCUAGCUCAAGUCUUAGAUGUGUUGAAUUAUAGUUACAUCGAUGGAAACUUGAUACGCACUAGAGAUUUUAAGCUCCAGGCUCAUCUCACUUUCUACAGGCCAUAUGAUUUUACCUCUCCAUUGUUCGAGAUUUAUGGUAGUGUAUGUGAUCAUCCAUACGAAGCGAUAGAGAGUGCACUAAUUCAUGCUCUAGUUUAUAUUGAUGAAGUUCUAGGCUUUAAGAUUAGAGACUUAAACUAUAUUUCAUAUCUAUGAAGCGAAGCUAAGUAUGAAAUAUGUAGCAUGCAUGGAUGCUCUACCCUUUUCUUAUGAAUUUGAACUUGUUCUGUCUAAGACCAAAGUAUUUAUGCAUGAACUUGCAUUAUGAGACUGGUUAUAUAUAUUCUGUUGCAUAUACAAUGUUCUGUGAGUGUUGGAUCUGAAUGGGUUGAUACAUGGGAGAAUCACAUUUUAAAAAUUUGGCGCAAAAAUAGUACAAAAUUUUGGCGGGAACGACAUUUCCAGCGGCGGGUGAUACCAUCACCCGCCUAGUUUGUAAGGGCGGUUCAUGACAUCACCCGCCCUUGAAAAUGUCUUUACAGGGUGGAUCUAUUACACGCUCUUGCAAACAGCUACUUUUAACUGCGAAAAGCAGGAACGGAUAGCAUGCCCGCCUUUACAAAUGCUAUUUCAACCAUCCUUGGAAACCGUUUUUUAUAGUGAUAAAUAAAAAAAUAUUUUUUAAAAAAAGUACAAUAGGCCGUCCUAACCCUACGAGCGUCAUGCGUACGAGCGUGAAGCGUCCCUGCCCUCCAAACCCAGUAGCAAUCACUGUGGCUCCUGAGUGCUGCCCCAAGCUUGAAGCUUCGUAUCCGAAAGUUCUCCUUUGGCCGCACUUGGCAUUGUCCUGCGACCCUGUCUCCCAGUCUGGCAGACCGCCACUGCCUGGCUCGAGCACGGUACCACCAUUCAAGUGAAGCAUUAGUGGUCUCCGUUUCAGCCAUUCUCGAGACCAUCCGAACAGUUAAAUUAGGUCAGGCAUAAGAGGAUAUCAAACGCCUUCCUGGAUCGCUGGGCUUCGUGCCGAAGCCAGCUAGCUACACACCUUUGGCAUCGUCGGGGGCUCAUCCCUGCACAAGAUAGUCGUGCCGUUCGAUCACCAUCCCACGUUGGCAGCCUGGCAGGACGCCCGUGAGGCGAUGAGUCGUUACGCGAGCUUAGACAGGUUAAGUAACUAUAGUAACCUUCUACUGCUUUAACUAACUGAUAAUCACUUCGAAGGAAGAAUACCAGAUUCUAUUCACUAGUAGAGAAUUGGCUUUCGAUCCGCCCCCUUUUGUCCCGGUUUAAAGUUGGCCCGGGACAAAAGGGGGUGCGCCACGGUAGGUAAAAUUGGAGGGGAGAUUUACUCCCGGUUGGUAAUUGCAACCGGGACUAAAGGCCCCACUUUAGUCCCAGUUGCAACGGCUAGCUGGGGGGCGUCGGUGGCGGGACCCUUUUAUCUCAGUUGGAGGAUCCAACCGGGAUAAAAGGUGAACCCUUUUAUCCCGGUUGGAGGCACCAACCGGGAUAAAAAGUUUAGUCCCGGUUGGUGCCUCCAACCGUUGGAGCCUCCAACCGGGACUAAACUUCCAACCAGGACAAAAGGUGUUCCUUUUUGUCUCGGUUGGAGUUUUUAACCGAGAUAAAAACUCAUCCCCAUUAUAUACGGCCAAGACAGAGGACUUUCUUCCUCCUCCAGCCCGAGCCAGUCCAGCACAUUGACAGAGAGAGCUGAGCUUCACCUACUCUCCAGUGGUGCCGAAGCAAGCAAGGAAGGUGCUGCCCGAAGUUUUUUCCCUCAUUUUCGUGGGAAUUUCACUUGGCCAACACAAGUGUUGCGAAGGUUUGCUACUUCAUCCUCGUGUUAUGCUUUGAUUUAUGCUUUGGAGAUGGAAAGAUUAUUUGCUAGAAUGUGAUGAUGAAGUAGAAAAAUGGAGAGGUAUUUUGAGCUAGAAUGUGAGGGAGAUUGAUGUGUCAUAUAUAGUAUGCAUUAUUGCAAUGGUUUAAAAAUGAUGCUACCUUGUCUAGACGGUUUAUCUUAUCAAAUUCAAUAUAGUUUUUUAAAUCCAUACUUGUUGAACUUGCAUACCAUGUUCAUUUCUGCUACGAUGUUCUCCGCCGAGCAGCAACGUAUGUCAAGAAGGAGGUUCGAUUCUACAAGAAAGAGUGGAUACGGACAUCGUGACCGUGUCCCCUUUUCCGUAGCAUCUAACCUCUUUCAUGACGAAGUGCGGUGCUGCCCAGCUGAGGACAUCCUCGCGAAAUGAUCACGGUCUUCAAGUUCAACAACUUCUGUAGUGGUAAGGAAAGAAUUUUUGUACAUAGAUGACUUCUGCUACUUGUUGAACUUGCAUACCGUGUUCAUCUCUCCGAGGAUGUUUUCCGCCGAGCAGCAACGUAUGUCAAGAAGGAGGUUCGAUUCUACGAGAAAGAGUGGAUACGGACAUCGUGACCGUGUCCCCUUUUCCGUAGCAUCUAACCUCUUUCAUGACGAUGUUGGGAUACGAGGUAGGCUACACUAGCGUAAAUCAAAAUUUCUACCGCGUAUAACCAGGAAGAACUGCCGUAUAAGGAUCACGGGAUUACCACUCGACGCACUACUGGUGCGGAAGAUGUAGAUAUGCGUCGAUGCAGUGAAGACGAUCACGUAGUCGUACGUAGUCGAUCAACGUAGUCGUACGUAGUCGAUCACGUCACGUCCAGCAGCUCCCACGUGCAGCAAGAUCGCCUCCGGUGCCGCGGCUCAUCGUGGCUCGUCGAUGGCUCGUCCAAGUGCUGCAGGCGCAACACCUCCAAGGUAUCCACACGUGCAGGGAGGAAGCGUCGCAAGCUGGACUGCUAGAUCCGCGAGUUGCAACAGGCGAGGGCGUGGGAGGCGCGGCAGAUGUGUUUCGCCAAAAGGUGUAAACCCUAGGGCGCCCCCACCCCUCUAUUUAUAGAGGUUCCUGACGGGCCUCUGGAUCCGAGGCCCAUUAGUACUUCUAAAACUAAUCCAACUCGGAUCUGAUCCGAAUUGGGCUUCCAGCCCCUUAAGUGUGUGACCCUAUGGGUUCGGAUACGUAUAGACAUGGCCCGAGUACUCCUACUCGGCCCAAUAGUCGGUAGCGGCCUCUAGCAAGACGUGCCAACUCCUACACGCACACGAAGAUCAUAUCAGACGAACCAUCACAACAUAAUAUACAUGCUAUUCCCUUUGCCUCACGAUAUUUGGUCUAGCUUCAAGCCGACCGCUCUUUCUCGAUCCUGUGAUUCGGAAUCCCUUUGUAGGUUAACUCUUAACCGUACGUAGCAUGGCCAUGCAUUUUCGGAUCCGAUCACUCGAGGGCCCCAGAGAUAUCACUCUCAAUCAGAGAGGGGCAAAUCCUAUCUUGACUGACCAUGUCUCAUAGCAUGCUUCUUGACAAACCCGAAAGCUACCUUUAUAACUACCCUGUUACGGCGUAGCAUUUGAUAGCCCCUAAGUAGGUCGAUCCACAUCUAGAAUACAUGCGACAGUCUCAGGUCUAAGGACAAAGCGUAUAUGUUGUUUAAAGAGAGAACUACUUCUCGUGUUGGGUCAGUCCUAGCACAUGUCUCCACAUGUGUCCACAUUAUCAGUUCAACAUCUCCAUGUCCAUGACUUGUGAAACAUAGUCAUCAACUAAUACAUGUGCUAGUCUAAUAUUCAUGUGUGUCCUCACAUGAACUCCGACUAGGGACAACUUUAGAAUAACCAUACAAGUAAAGAGUUUCACAUACAAUUCACAUAAUUGCAAAUCAAUUCAAGUAGCCUUUAAUGGAUAUUCAAUGAACACAAUAUACAAAUCAUGGAUACAAAUGGAAUAUCAUCAUCUCUAUGAUUGCCUCUAGGGCAUACCUCCAACAGUCUCCCACUUGCACUAGAGUCAAUCUAGAAGGUACCUAAUACCCAUAGCUCUUACAUGCGCAUCAUGCUUAGCCUGCGGGAGUGGUUUUGUCAAUGGAUCAGAAAUGUUCAGAUCCGUGUGUAUUUUGCAUAUCUUGAUCUCACCCCGGUUAACGAAGUCUCGAAUGAGAUGAAAUCGCCGCAUUACGUGUUUGUUCUUCUGGUGGUUCCUUGGCUCCUUUGCUUGCGCAAUUGCCCUAUUAUUAUCACAGUAGAGAUUCAAUGGGCUGGACGCAUUCGGGAACACACCAAGCUCAAUGAGGAAAUUCCUUAUCCAAACACCUUCCUUCGCGGCUUCCAAAGCCGCGAUGUACUCGGCUUCUGUCGUAGAAUCGGCCACCGUCUCCUGCUUGGAACUCUUCCAACUAACAGCACCACCAUUUAGCGUGAACACAAAUCCUGAUUGUGACUUUGAAUCAUCUCUGUCGGUUUGGAAACUAGCAUCGGUGUAACCUGUUACAACGAGCUCCUCCUGACCUCCAUAGACGAGGAACAUAUCUUUAGUCCUUCUCAAGUACUUAAGAAUGUUUUUCACCGCUGUCCAGUGACUCUCACCUGGAUCAGAUUGGUGUCUGCUUGUCAUACUUAGCGCAUAUGAAACAUCUGGGCGAGUACUUAUCAUUGCAUACAUGAUAGAUCCAAUAGCCGAGGCAUAUGGCACUCUACUCAUGCUAUCCCGCUCAUCAGCAGUCGAAGGACACUGAGUCUUGCUGAGAUGUAUGCCAUGUGACAUAGGCAAGAACCCUUUCUUUGCCUCUUCCAUGCUGAACCGCUUCAACACUUUGUCAAUAUAAGUAUCUUGGCUCAAACCUAUAAGCCUUCUCGAUCUAUCUCUAUAGAUCUUAAUGCCCAGAAUAUAUGCCGCUUCCCCUAAGUCCUUCAUCGAAAAACUAUUUUUCAGUGAAGUCUUUACGGACUCAAGCAUAGGAAUGUUAUUUCCAAUCAGUAAUAUGUCAUCCACAUAUAAGAUUAGAAAUACUACAGAGCUCCCACUAACCUUCUUGUAAACACAAGACUCUUCUUCGUUCUUGGUGAAGUCAAACCCUUUGACCACUUCAUCAAAACGAAUGUUCCAACUCCUAGAUGCUUACUUCAAUCCAUAAAUGGAUCUCUGAAGCUUGCAUACCUUUCCAGCAUUUUUCGGAUCGAUAAAACCCUCGGGCUGUAUCAUAUACACGUCCUCAGCUAGGUUUCCAUUCAGGAAAGCUGUCUUGACAUCCAUCUGCCAUAUCUCAUAAUCGAAAUAUGCAGCUAUAGCUAGAAUAAUCCAAAUGGACUUAAGCAUCACUACGGGCGAGAAGGUCUCGUCGUAGUCAACUCCUUGAACUUGUCAAAAACCUUUUGCGACAAGUCGUGCUUUAUAGAUGUGAACAUUUCCAUCCAUGUCCUUUUUCUUCUUAUAGAUCCACUUGCACUCUAUGGCUUUAACACCAUCAGGUGGGUCAACCAAGUUCCAAACUUGAUUGUCUCCCAUGGACUCUAUUUCGGAUUGCAUGGCACUCUGCCAUUUUUCGGAGUCUGGGUCCAUCAUUGCUUCUGCAUAUGUCGCAGGCUCAUCAUUGUCCAACAAUAAUAUUUCCCGCAUUUCGCGGAGCCUUGCCGACCUUCAUGGUUGUGGCGGUGCUUCUCUUGCCAUGGGUAUCUCAACUUGUUCUGCUACGUCAGCAUCACUCAUUGGUUCUUGCCCGAUUGGCUCAUCUUGAACUUCUUCAAGAUGCACUGUCUUUCCACUCUUUUCUCCUUUGAGAAACUCUUUCUCUAGGAAAACCCUGUUCCGAGCGACAAACACUUUGCCUUCUGAUCGGUUGUAGAAAUAAUAUCCCAAAGUUUCCUUUGGAUAUCCCACGAAAAUGCACUUAUCCGACUUGGGUGUGAUCUUGUCCGACUGAAGUCGCUUGACAAACACUUCACAUCCCCAAAUCUUUAGAAAAGACAAACUAGGAACCUUUCCAGUCCAUAUCUCAUAUGGUGUCUUAACUACGGAUUUAGAUGGUACCCUAUUAAGUGUGAAAGCUGCUGUUUCUAGAGCGUAUCCCCAAAAUGACAAUGGUAGGUCCGAAUGGCUCAUCAUUGAUCGAACCAUGUCUAACAAAGUUCGAUUACGUCGCUCGGACACACCGUUUCUCUGAGGUGUUCCAGGCGGCGUAAGUUGUGGAACAAUUCCGCAACUCUUUAGAUGAUUGCUAAACUCGUGGCUCAAAUACUCGCCUCCACGAUCAGAUUGUAAGGCCUUAAUUUUCUUGCCACGCUGAUUUUCAACUUCAUUCUGAAAUUCCUUGAACUUUUCAAAGGUUUCAGACUUGUGCCUCAUCAAGUAGACAUAGCCAUAUCUACUAAAAUCAUCAGUGAAAGUUAUGAAGUAUUGGAAUCCUCCUCUAGCCGUCAUGCUCAUUGGUCCGCAUACAUCACUAUGUACGAGUUCCAACAAGUCUACUGCUCUCUCAGGAAAUCCUGUGAAAGGCGUCUUGGUCAUCUUGCCUAGCAAGCAAGCCUCACAUGUCUCGUAUGAUUCAAAAUCAAACGAAGUUAGAAGUCCAUCAGAAUGGAGCUUCUUCAUGCGCUUUUCACUUAUAUGACCCAAACGACAAUGCCACAAGUAGGUAGGACUCAAAUCAUUAGGCCGAGGCCUUUUAGCACUUACAUUACAGACAGGUGAACCAUCAAGAUUUAAAACAAAUAAUCCAUUCACAAUGGGUGCAAAAGCCAUAAACAUAUUAUUCUUAGAGAUCACACAACCAUUGUUUUCACUCGCAAAUGAAUAACCAUCCUUCAUCAAACAUGAAGGAGACAAAAUGUUUCGACUUAAACUAGGAACAAAAUAACAAUUAUUCAACUCCAUAAUAAAUCCUGACGGGAGGUGGAGUUGCAUCGUCCCGACGGUCAACGCAGCAACUCUUGCAUUAUUGCCCACGCGGAAAUCAACUUCUCCUCUUUCCACGCUUCUACUUCUUAUCAUUCCCUGCAUUGAAUUGCAAAUAUGAGCAACCGAUCCGGUAUCAAAUACCCAAGAAUUAAUAACUGUAUCAGUGAGAAAUAUGUUGUCUAUAACAUUAACAACAAGCGUACCUGAGGUAGAAGUACUCUUACUUCCGCCGUUCUUCAACGAAGCUAGGUACUGCUUGCAGUUUCUCUUCCAGUGACCAAGUUCAUGACAGUAAAAGCACUCUUUAUCUGGAGCAGGUCCAGCUUUAGCCUUGGGCGCUGGGUUUGGCUUGGACACUCCAGCCUUGCCCUUCUUCUUCCAAGAAUUGCCCUUCUUCUUAAAGGUAGGCUUGUUCUGUACAGCCAUCACAUGGCUGGUACUAGCGCUUUUCUUAAUGUCUACCUAUGCUGUCUUGAGCAUACCACACAGUUCAUUCAGACCCUUCUCCGUCCCAUGCAUAUGGUAGUUCGAGAUGAAGUUCCCAUAGCUAGGCGGAAGAGAUGAAAGAAUGAAGUCAGUGGCCAAAUCUUUGCCCAUUGGGAAGCCCAGCUUCUCCAAUCGCUGAGUGUAACCAACCAUCUUGAUUACAUGUGGUCCUACUGCUGCGCCUUCUGCUAACUUGCACUCCAGAAAGGCUUUGGACACAUUGAACCUUUCGGUCCUAGCCUGUGUCUGGAACAUGUCCUUGAGCGCCAUGAUCAUAUCGUGUGCCUCAUGAUUUGUUUCGAACUGCAUCUGCAGCUCGGGUUCCAUGCAAGCAAGCAUAAGGCAGCUUACCUCAAGAUUAGCAUCAAAUGCCUUCUUGUAAGCAGCCUUAACGGCAGCAGAUGCAUCAUCAGCAGAUACUGGUGGUAGUGGGGUGUCUAGAACAUCUUCCUUUUUCUCAGCCCUGAGAACAAUUCUUAGGUUAUGGAUCCAAUCCGAGUAGUUUGUUCCAUUCAACUUGUCCUUCUCAAGGACCGAACGCAAAGCAAACGAUGCGGUGGUGUUGCUAGGUGCCAUUUAAUCUACAACAAAAGUAAUGCAAAAUACACUAAGACAAACGUAUCCAUGAUAGAGCAAAUUACAUUAAACUAUUUUAACAGAAUCUACUCCCACUAAAAUCAAUAUCGCUCUAUUGAAACUUAGUGAUUCAGGAUCCACAACUAACAAGUCUACUAGUGAGCUUUAGCAUCACCGCUAGCAAACGAGGUAGAUCGGUAAGCAACUUUUGCUAAUCAUAUCACAUAUGACUCCUGUUGUUGGGUGACAUCUCUAUGUCUCGGCACCCAACCUUUAUGCCCCAAGGUCCUUAACCAUUAAGAUAACCUUGUUAAGCAAACCAACCCUUAUGCGUGUAAGUGUCCGACACAAACCCGUCUAGUCAAGGAAAACUAGUGGCACCCUAAUUUCAUAGACCCACCACUAAUUGUACAAGACAUGGGACGGUGCAAGUUUUAGUUGGGAGGGCAUACUAACUUAAACUUUGUGAGGGAUCGUUCUACUUCUAACAUCACAGCAUGCAGAAAGUAAAACAUAAACAGAAUAGCAUUCACACAGUUGUGACACAGUAUGGCCCGUUUCCAUAUGGUGAUCUCCAUCUCCAUGUUCCAUGUGCGCCAUCCUCCUGGUGAAGAUUCCUCCAAGAACUAGAGCAUGCUAUUACGCCUAAUAGCUAGUAAAGAAUCUAGUAAUGAAGAUUACAUAGUUGCUUGGAUCAUCACAGAUUGGUACGCAGACCAUUAAAUACAUUAAGGUGACAACACAUAUGGCUCAUGCCGUGUUGCCGUAUGCGCGACACGCAGGUCACGAAUGAGUUACACACAUGCAUCACAUACACAAGGGGGCCAUACUGAUCACAAGAUACAUACAUACAUCCUGCAAAACAGAGUUAGACGCCCUAACGUUCCAAACUUCGGAUGCCCGAAACUCCAUCUUCCAAGCCGAAUUUGGGAAAUCUAAUUUCACCAAAAACGACAAAGCGUUGAAUUUCAUGUGUAACUUUUUCUGUAGAUCAAUUUUCGUAUAAAAAUCGCCCCGAUCCGAGAUCGUACCGAAAAGUUACGGCUGAUUUACCGAAGCAUACGCAUACGGCAAAAUCCCAACCUCGGCAGUAGAUCCCAUCUACUAUUGCACAUCUAAUGCGCCUGGCGUAUGACCCUGGAUCUCGAUUCGACCAAUCAUAUUGAUCUUCGCUCACUGCAACUGGAUUUACGUGUAUCACUUAACUCCGAUGGCGGAAACCGACCGGUAGGAGUAUGUCGUUACACUACCAUUGUAGCAAGGGCACGAAACCAGGACAUAGAUCAAACAGAAAACUCGCAUAUCUCCAUAUGCACACAUCCCGAAUCCAAAACUAAGCAGCUACGGCUCUUGAUACCACUGUUGGGAUACAAGGUAGGCUACACUAGCGUAAAUCAAAAUUUCUACCACGUAUAACCAGGAAGAACUGCCGUAUAAGGAUCACGGGAUUACCACUCGACGCACUACUGGUGCGGAAGAUGUAGAUAUGCGUCGAUGCAGUGAAGACGAUCACGUAGUCGUACGUAGUGGAUCAACGUAGUCGAUCACGUCACGUCCAGCAGCUCCCACGUGCAGCAAGAUCGCCUCCGGUGCCGCGGCUCGUCGUCGGCUCGUCAUGGCUCGUCGAUGGCUCAUCCAAGUGCUGCAGGCGCAACACCUCCAAGGUAUCCACACGUGCAGGGAGGAAGCGUCGCAAGUCGGACUGCUAGAUCCGCGAGUUGCAACAGGCGAGGGCGUGGGAGGCGCGGCAGAUGUGUUUCGCCAAAAGGUGUAAACCCUAGGGCGCCCCCACCCCUCUAUUUAUAGAGGUUCCUGACGGGCCUCUGGAUCCGAGGCCCAUUAGUACUUCUAAACCUAAUCCAACUCGGAUCUGAUCCGAAUUGGGCUUCCAGCCCCUUAAGUGUGUGACCCUAUGGGUUCGGAUACGUAUAGACAUGGCCCGAGUACUCCUACUCGGCCCAAUAGUCGGUAGCGGCCUCUAGCAAGACGUGCCAACUCCUACACGCACACGAAGAUCAUAUCAGACGAACCAUCACAACAUAAUAUACAUGCUAUUCCCUUUGCCUCACGAUAUUUGGUCUAGCUUCAAGCCGACCGCUCUUUCUCGAUCCUGUGAUUCGGAAUCCCUUUGUAGGUUAACUCUUAACCGUACGUAGCAUGGCCAUGCAUUUUCGGAUCCGAUCACUCGAGGGCCCCAGAGAUAUCACUCUCAAUCAGAGAGGGGCAAAUCCCAUCUUGACUGACCAUGUCUCAUAGCAUGCUUCUUGACAAACCCGAAAGCUACCUUUAUAACUACCCUGUUACGGCGUAGCGUUUGAUAGCCCCUAAGUAGGUCGAUCCACAUCUAGAAUACAUGCGACAGUCUCAGGUCUAAGGACAAAGUGUAUAUGUUGUUUAAAGAGAGAACUACUUCUCGUGUUGGGUCAGUCCUAGCACAUGUCUCCACAUGUGUCCACAUUAUUAGUUCAACAUCUCCAUGUCCAUGACUUGUGAAACAUAGUCAUCAACUAAUACAUGUGCUAGUCUAAUAUUCAUGUGUGUCCUCACAUGAACUCCGACUAGGGACAACUUUAGAAUAACCAUACAAGUAAAGAGUUUCACAUACAAUUCACAUAAUUGCAAAUCAAUUCAAGUAGCCUUUAAUGGAUAUUCAAUGAACACAAUAUAUAAAUCAUGGAUACAAAUGGAAUAUCAUCAUCUCUAUGAUUGCCUCUAGGGCAUACCUCCAACAGACGAAGUGCGGUGCCGCCCAGUUGAGGACAUCCUCGCGAGAUGAUCACGGUCUUCAAGUUGAACAACUUAUGCAGUGUUAAGAUAAUAAUUUUUGUACAUAGAUGGCUUCUGCUACUGGAGGAAGUGGCGAUGGUGGGGGCGAUCGUGGUUCCUAUUAUGGCAAGGUUCCAAUCAUAGUUGGCCCUCACCAUAAGCCAAAGAAAAAGAGCACGCUAGAAAAAGCAAUGCUUCGUUAUUUGCGGCAACGUCAUGAAGAAGCUGUUGCCGCGGGUCAGGAACCUCCUUUUGGUGGUCGUUAUGCUCCACCCUCAGUCCCGGGUGUUUCACGUCCACUUAGUACUACCGUUUCAGGCGGCACAAAUAAACCUAAGGAUGAGGUGUGGUCAGCGGAACCUUCGUCUUCACCGUCCAAGGAUGCUUAAAGUCCUCCUUGAUAAUAACCAAUGGAUGGCUUGUUGUAUUGUAUCAUGUUGUUUGGGACUUUAAUUUAAAUAUGUGUAUUUGGAUCUUCAUGUUGUUGUAUUGUACCAUGUUGUUUGGAUCUUUAAUCGAUUUUCACGCGUAAUCCAUUGUCAAGUGUAAUCCAUUUUCAUGCGUAAUACGAUGCAGAUGGACCGGCAAUGGAUGUAUAAUGCAGACACGCGGAGCAAGGCGUUUAUUGAUGGCUUGCAUUAUUUUCUCGAAGUGGCAAAAGCGAACAAGCCAGAGAAUGGGUUCGUAUGUUGUCCAUGCUUCCAAUGCAAUAACAGGAAGGAGUAUUCAAAGGAUUCCUGGGGGACUAUUCACAGCCACUUGUUUAAAUACGGUUUUAUGCCUAACUAUUUGGUUUGGACCAAGCACGGUGAACUAGGGGUUGUAGUGGAAGAUGGCGAGGAGGAGGAGGAAGAUCACACCAUUCCGGACUGGGUUGCAGGCCAAGCUUUUGCAGGUACUACAAUGGGCGAGGCUGAUGAAGAUGAGUUUGCGAAAAAUGGCCCUACUGAUGACCUUGGUCAGGUGAUACGAGAUGCAUACAGAGAUUGCGAAACUGAGAAGGAAGCAGCAAAGUUGCAGUGCAUGAUAGAUGAUCACCAAAAAUUGUUGUACCCAGGUUGCCAGCAGGGCCAUAAAAAACUAGGUACGACACUAGAAUUUGUGCAAUGGAAGGCAAAAAAUGGUGUGUCUGAUAAGGCAUUUCAGGGGAUGUUGAACAUUGUCAAGAAGAUUCUCCCCGAGAAUAAUGAAUUACCGUCCACAACAUAUGAAGCUAAACAGAUUAUUUGCCCUCUCGGAUUGGAUGUUCAGAAGAUACACGCAUGCCCUAAUGACUGUAUCCUCUAUCGUGGUGAUGAAUAUGAGAAAUUGGAUGCUUGUCCCGUCUGCGAAGCCCUGCGGUAUAAGAUCAGGCGAGAUGAUCCUGGUGAUGUCGAGGGGCAGUCUCUCAAGAAGAGAGUUCCCGCGAAGGUGAUGUGGUAUUUCCCUAUAAUACCACGCUUGAAGCGCUUGUUCAGGAAAAAGACGAAUGCUAAGUUGAUGCGAUGGCACAAAGAAGACCGUAAGGAAGAUGAGAUGCUGAGACACCCCGCAGAUGGGGCACAGUGGAGAUCAAUUGAUAGAACAUUCCCAGACUUUGAAUGUGAAGCAAGGAACAUAAGGUUUGGUUUAAGCACUGAUGGAUUCAAUCCAUUCGGUGAGUUGAGUAGUGGCCAUAGUACUUGGCCUGUGACCCUUUGUAUGUUCAACCUUCCUCCUUGGCUGUGCAUGAAGCGGAAGUUCAUUAUGAUGCUGGCGCUUAUCCAAGGCCCAAAACAACCCGGCAACGACAUUGACGUGUACCUAAGGCCGUUGGUUGAUGACCUUUUACAGCUCUGGAAGGAAGAAGGUGUACGUGUGUGGGAUGAGGAUAGACAAGAGAUCUUUAAUCUAUGAGCACUGUUGUUCGUAACCAUCAACGAUUGGCCUGCAUUGAGUAACCUUUCAGGACAGACAAAUAAGGAAUAUCGGGCAUGCACCCACUGUUUAGACGACACAGACAGCAUGUACUUGAAGCACUGUAAGAAGGUCGUCUAUAUGGGUCAUCGUCGAUUUCUCCCUGCUCACCACCAGCUGAGAAAGAGCAGGAUGCAUUUCAAAGGGGCGCCAAACCAUCGUAAAAAACCUGCACACCGUAAUGGAAAGCGUGUGUUUGAGAUGAUGAAGGAUGUAAAUGUAGUCUUUGGAAAGGGACUUGGUAGCCAACCUGUUCCGAACGACGAUAACGGACAUGCACCCAUGUGGAAGAAAAAGUCAAUAUUUUGGGAGCUACCUUAUUGGGAAAUCCUAGAGGUUCGCAACGCAAUAGACGUGAUGCACCUGAUGAAGAAUCUUUGCGUGAACGUGCUAGGCUUCAUGGGUGUUUAUGGAACCUCAAAAGAUACAUUGGAAGCACGACAGGACCUGAAAGCCAUGGGGCAACGAGAUGACCUACAUCCGGAAAAGAGAGAUAAUGGACAGCACUACUUACGUCCUGCCAGUUACACUCUCAGCAAGGAAGAGAAGGAUAGCAUGUUUGAAUGCUUGAAUAGUAUGAAGGUCCCGUCUGGGUACUCCUCGAAUAUAAAGGGAAUAAUAAAUAUGAAACAAAAGAAGUUUACAAAUCUCAAGGCUCAUGACUGCCACAUGUUGAUGACCCAGUUGCUUCCGGUUGCACUGAGGGGUGUUCUACCAGAAAAUGUCCGGUUGCCGCUCGUAAAGCUAUGCGCGUUUCUCAAUGCGAUUUUGCAGAAGGCAAUCGAUCCAUCCAAGCUAUCAAAGCUACAGAACGAUGUGGUGCAAUGUCUUGUCAGUUUUGAGUUGUUAUUUCCACCAUCCUUCUUCAAUAUUAUGACGCACUUACUGGUUCACCUAGUAAAAGAGAUUGGUAUUCUCGGACCUGUAUACCUGCACAAUAUGUGGCCUUUCGAGAGGUUCAUGGCAGUCCUAAAAAACUAUGUUCUUAAUCGUGCCCGUCCAGAAGGAAGCAUCGCCAAGGGAUAUGGAACAGAGGAGGUGAUCGAGUUUUGUGUUGAUUUUAUUGAUUCAAUUGACUCGAUUGGGGUUCCAGCUUCACGCCACGAGGGGAGGCUCCAAGGAAUGGGCACCCUUGGAAGGAAAUCAAGUUUGAGCAAUGAUACUGAUUUGUUCGACAAGGCACACUACACUGUUCUACAACAGUCAUCCUUUGUGUCUCAGUAUAUCGAGCAGCACAGGCAGAUGGUAGGUUCCAAAAACCCGACCAAAUCCGAUGCUUGGCUUACCCGUCAUCACAUGGAAACUUUUCCCUCCUGGUUGCGCCAACAACUUAUGGGUAACUCUGAGAUUCACCCACAACUUGCCUGGUUAGCCAGGGGACCUGCUACCACAAUCGUCAAAUUCCAAGGCUAUGAGAUAAAUGGUUACACAUUUUACACGAGAGCCCAGGACCAGAAAAGCAUGAACCAGAAUAGUGGUGUCCGCAUAGAUGCCAUGGACAGAAAUAAUAGCAAGGAGUCGUAUUAUGGUUUCAUACAGGAGAUAUGGGAACUCGAAUACGGACCGCUGUACAUCCCUCUAUUUCUUUGCAAUUGGGUGAAGCUAACUACCGUCACCAAAGAUCAGUACGGAAUGACAAUAGUAGAUCUGAGCAAGACUGGAUACAGUGAUGACCCAUUCGUACUUGCCAAUGAUGUGCAUCAGGUGUUCUAUGUGAAGGACAUGUGCAGCAAACCCAAGAGGAAUCCAGAAGAGACAUGGGAGCCAAAGUGCCACAUAGUUCUUCCAGGUAAAAGAAAAAUCGUGGGAGUCGAGGAUAAAACAGACCAAUCAGAUGAUUAUGAUCAGUUUGAUGGCAUGCCUCCAUUCGCCGUUGAAGUUGAUCCAAGCAUCCUGCUAUCCAAAUAAGAGGCUCCGUACUUACGCCGCGAUCAUGAUCAAGGAACUUUCGUGAAGAAGAAAUUUUACAACAUUGUAUUGUAAUGCGUUAAAUGUACAUGAUCUUUGUGUAUUAAUUGAUACAAUUUGUAAUUUACCCUAUGUAUGAUUUCAUGUCUUCUUAAAUUUCUUAGGUGAAGAUUUUAUAGAUAAACAUGAACAAUGUUAACCACAAACAAACAUGGAUUUUUUUGCGCAUUGAAAUUAUUUAAUUGAAUAAUUUCUUGAUCACAACAAUGCAGUAAAAUAAAUAUUUUAGAGGCUAAAUGAACUGGUAUAGAAUUCAUGAUUAAUUCAUACUUAUUGUCAAUUUACUCGUUAAUUAAAUAUAUUUUUGCAUGUACAAAAUCUGUGAAGGUUUUGUUUUUCAUCCUGAAAUGCAGUGAAAAGAUAAAAUAAAAUCCAUUUCCAAAAAAUAGGCGGGAGAAGAAAAGUAGGAAAAAAGACCUUUUGUCUCGGGUGCUAACAGCAACCGGGACAAAAGGCCCCCCUUUUAUCCCGGUUGCAAACUGCAACCGGGAUAAAAGGGUACUUUUCGUCUCCCGCCCCGACGUACCCUUUUAUCCCGGUUGCCAACUGCAAUCGGGAUAAAAGGCCCCCCCUUUUAUCCCGGUUGGUGGUGGCACCUGGGAUAAAAGGGUACGCUCCCAGCCCUACCUGGCGGGGGCACCCUUUUGUACCGGGUCCCGUCACCAACCGGGAUAAAAGGCAACCGGGAUAAAAGGCCUUUUAUCCCGGUUGGUGACGGGACCCGGGACAAAAGGCCCUUUUGUCCCGGGUGGCAUUACGAACCGGGAUAAAGGGGGGGGGGGUUAAAAGGCACUGUACUCCCUUCUACCCCCCGCCAGUUACACUUAGCCAAAUUUUCGCCUAGUCCCGCGCGUUCUCCGCCGUCGCCGCCCGUCCGCCUCCCUCGCCGGCCGCCGCCGUCGUCGUCCCCCAUUGCACCGUCGACGUCCCCCAUUGCGCCGUCGUCGUCCCCCGGCCGGCCUGCCUCGAUCCCCUCCUCGUCCGUCGACGCGCCCGGCCCCCGGCCGCCUCGUCGCCUCCGGCCACCGGCUCCAUCCUCGUCGCCGGCUGCAUCCUCGUCGCCCCUCGUCGCCCCUCGUCGCCGUCUCGUCGCCGUCCCACCUACGCCACCCGGCCGCCGCCGUCCCGCCGCCCCGGCCGCCGCCCCGCGCGCGAGAGGUCCGCCGCCGCGCCGGCCGGCAGCGCCGGGAGGGUUUUUUUUUUAAGUUAGAAAAUUAAGUUAUAUUUUUAUGAUAGAUUUUUAAUUUUGAUUGUUAAGCUAGAAAAUUAAGUUAUAUUUUUAAGUUAGAUUUUUUAGUUAGUUUGUUAAGUUAGAUUUUUAAGUUAGAAAAUAAAGUUAGAAAUUCGUAGGAUGCACCGCCGUCCCCUCCGCCGUCCUGCCGCCGUGACCGCCGCCGUCCCGCCGCCCGUCACAACCUAGUAGACACCGCCCGUGGUUCCGGGGAACCGUCCCCGCCUCCGCCGUACCGCCGCCGUGAUCGCCGCCCGUCACAACCUAGUAGGCACCGCCCGUGGUUCCGGGGAACCGUCCCCGCCUCCGUCGUACCGCCGCCCUCAGUGCCGCCGUCACAACCUAGGCAGCGCCCGUGGUUCCAGGGAACCAUCCCCGCCUCCGCCGCCCUGAUCGCCGCCGUUACAACCUAGGCACCGCACGUGGAUAUUGUUAGAAAUUCGUAGAAAUUCAUAGAAAUUCGUAGAAAUUCGUCAAAAUUCGUAGAAAUUCGUAGAAAUUCAUAGAAAUUUGUAGAAAUUCAUAGAAAUUUGUAGAAAUUUGUCAAAAUUCGUAGAAAUUCGUAGAAAUUCGUAGAAAUUUGUAUAAAUAUUCCGGACUUUGUAGGAUUCAUGUUAUUUUAUGAUUUCAUUAUAUACAUUAUGAUUCCGGACUUUGUAGGACUUUGUAGAAAUUUGUAGUAAGAUGAUUUCUAUGACUGUCAUGUAUGAUUCCAUGUAUGUUUCCAUCAAUAGUUGAAAUGGCAGACGAUGAGACCGCAAGGUAUAUCAUGGAGCAGAUAAUCGCUGGUGAUGGUAGUGGCGACAACAUUCCACUAUCAUACAUGGAUGAAGAGGGCACCCAGGCGGACAUGUUCCUCAACAUGUCCGCCGAUGGGAAUGAAGAGCAACAGCCGCAGCAACAACUUGCCGUGGUGGAAGGUUCCGGCGAGGUAUAUGUUGGCGCUAGAAAUCGGUCAACCGAAUCCCAGCGACCGACACACGACCCGGGAGAAUCUGCUUAGCUCCUGUUCGGGUGAAUGCCCUGGUGCAGUUCGCGCAGCGUGCCAGCCAAUCUGACCUGUUGAUUGGCAAGGAAGAAUACGUGUCAGGUCCAGAAAUCACGAUCGGCUAAGUUUCCGAUCGAGAGAAUUUAUCAACGAAUCGGCCGAUUUACUGUAGUAAUGAAAUCGGCUAUAAGACAGCCUGAUCUCUGUAGCCUUGUAGACAAGGAAUUACUAAAGUAAUCGAUACAAAGCUAUGAUAACAACACUAGGAACAGAUCUAAUCGGCAAUAGAUGAAUUUAAUAACAGAAUAUAGAAAGAGCCGAAACUACCGAUUCCUAGCUGGAUAACUGGUGAUAAAGACUAGAAAAAUAGGUAAAACCUAUGGAUCUAGCAAAUAUCGAUAACUAGUGAAUAUAUCUAAACGAAACAACAGCGAUACGCCCGAAGUUAAAGCUUAGAUAUUACUCGAUAAACGGAACUUACAGAAUCGGCCGGAGAUCAAGAUGAUGCAGCCCUGCCAACCCGCAUGAACUCGUGAGAAGAGAAAAGUAAUGGCGAAGUCGCCUGCUUGAAAGUAAGUACGAAGAAAAAGUAGCUUGUUGUAUUGAUUGGUUGAUGAUUACAGAUUUACAAAGGUAGCUAUUUAUAGCCCCAUACAGAUAUCUUCUUAACCGACUAGAAUUCUAUCCCUAAUUCAAACAGAAAACGAAUAUCUACAAGCAUGAUUCGUGCUAGGUUAGUUACUCCACGCUUCGUGGGCUGAUUUCCAGCUCACCCUUCUAUUCCAAGCCCAUACAGGCCCAAUUAACCCAUCCUCCUAAUCGGCCGAUUCCUCAUCGGCAAAAGGCUACCGAUUGGGACUCUGGUAUAUUCGACCCGAAACGAGACAGAAGUCACCGGCCGAUCUCACACUGUAGCACCACUUGGCCGAUUCCCAAUUGUGCUCCUCCGAUUCCCUCUCUUCUUGGCGCCGAUUCUACUAGUGACGAAAUCUGGCGUCAACACAUGCCCCCCAGUUUCGGAGUAAAACAUAGUCUUUUACUUCGAAAUUCUUUAUAACCUCCCUUCCGAAACGGCCGCAGUGAAAAUAUCCCUCCGUUUCGCGGUCUUCCAGCUGAUCAUUGCAAUUUUUCGAAACGGGCGCCCACGACAGCCACUACUCCCGAAAAACUCGAAACGCCGGCGCGGUGAAAAUUCCAUUUUUACCCCCCUUCAGGCAUCCUUUAAAUAGCGCUUCACCCGCACCUCAUCUUCAAGCUCACGUCUCUUUUCCCAGUGCGCGCGCCUUCUUCCUCCUUCAGCAUCUUUCCCUUGCCGCCGAAGCUUCCUAGCUCCACCUCCUGUUACUCUUCCCUCUUCUCUUUCAAUGGCGGCUCCUUCCGGCAGCUCUCCCGCAUGCGAUGUCCCAGAGGUAGCGCCUCCGGCGGUGGUAGCGACAGCCGUCGCUCCAUCCACAGAAGAAGGAGCUUCAUCGGAGAUCCCAAUGGCGAUCCCCAUCACGGCCCCGUUGUCCGCAUCCGCACCGGCAACCACGCCGAUCACUCAGAACUUCAUCCCAGAGGUAAAUACCGAAUCCUUCUCCUAUCGGCAAUUAAUUUACCUUAGAUCUGUUUCUUACUUUUUACACCCCCUUUUCCUUUUUUAGGCAGUUAGGCAUCGCAUUACCAUUCACCUUACGGGAAAUCCCGGCCUUAUUUGUCUCGGACCUAUGGGAAACCCAGAUCCAAUAGAGCUUAUUAAUUUGGAAACCCACAGGAUACCCUUCAAACUGUCUAAUAUGGACUUAGAUCAGUGGCUGGGUACUUUUAGAUCUUGGCCGAAUGAAACCCCAGGUUGGAGGGAGUGGUACCAAUGGAUAGCCGCAUCAAAGAGCGUCUCAUGGGAAGAGCUCAAAAUCGGCCAGUGCAUCAACCUUUCCUUAUCCCAGAUGGAGAAAAAUGAGCCGUUAGUAAUGGCGGCUUCUUAUUUUUGGUCUGAUGCACUUAAUGCCUUCUUAUUUGGGCACGGUCCUAUGACCCCAACACUGGCCGAUGUGGUCCUGUUGACCGGCCUCGACAUAUCCUCCCCGGACACACCCUAUCACCUUUUAACCACAACGUCACAUCGGCUGGACACAAGGGGAAUCGGCGGGUGGAAGGGUUUCAUCAAAAGUAAUAAGAGGACCGGGACUGUUGAGAAUAGGGAGCACACAGCUUUCCUGAUGAUGUGGCUAGAAAAGCACUUCUUUUGCGGAAGAGCCGCCGGCCCGACAACCAAUACCCAGGCCUUAGCUGAAGCACUGUCCAAGGGAAACCAUGUCCCUCUUGGGAAACAUCUGCUAGGGGCCGCGUACCACAUGCUACAUCAAAUCGGCAUAAGACUAUCCAAGGGAGAGCCGAUCGGCAAUCAAGGCGGGCCCUGGUGGUUCAUCAACUUGUGGUUGAACCUUUAUAUGAGCAGAAUUACUCAGCAGCCGGUGGAUCGCAUGACGUUCCCCAACAUCGAAUCGGUAGAAGACCCUACCGAACGUCGCCGAUGUAUGUCCUUUGGUGAAGCGGCAUCGGCUUUUCCAGGUUGCAUGUAUUCUGCUACAAAGGUAGCCGAGUACUUUCGAUGCUUCUAUAAUGGCUUUAGUGAAGAUGCAACCAUUUGGUUUCCGUAUUAGCGAGACGACCCGGUCUUUGAACUCCCCACUUGCUUCGAUUCGGCUUCCGGCCGAUUUGAUAUAGAGCUCUAUGAUGAGUUGAUCAAGCCAGGGCUCCUGCCAGCCAAUUUCUUCUCGGGGAAGGAUGCCCCUACGUACGAAUUCUACAACCCCUCCGCUGCAGCACGUCAAUUCGGCAUGGGUCAGCUGCCGAUUCAAGUGUACUUUGCUGGCCGAAUCAAGUUUAGGGAUGAGCUCACAUCUGGUCUGGAUUACAGUUGGUUACGAGACCGAAUCCCGGACUCCAGUACAAUUGACCUGAACGACUGGCUAGUAGCUCCCUUUGCUGUUCAGCCGUUCAAACUCUGGUGGGCCGAUUGGAAGCAAUUUCUUUUCUGCAACUCGGCAUCGGCAUACUGCAACCUUCUGGACCCAGCCAACAUCGACCCGAACGUCGAGGUAUUUCACUUAGCCAAUUUUUAUUCCUCUCAACAUGACUAAGCACUAAUGAUUUUAUUAUCUUUUCAGGCCGAGAAUCGAACUCCUCCAACACACAGCCGCAGCGGACGGCUAAUAGAAAGUCACCCAUACACAACUUAUCCUCUUAUCGGCUAUGACGCUCCGUCUGUUGACGUGAUUGCUGGCCGAUCAAAACAAGUCCAUAAGAGGACUACCAAGAAAACCAUUCGCCGAGUCCGAGCUCGUGUAGAAUCGGCAGAUCCCCCUGUGCUCGUAUCGGCAAAGACCCUGGCCGCACCACCUUCUCAGGUCAUCCAAGAUGCCGAUACCCAAGCCGUUGCGCAAGCUGGAACAGCCGCCGCGUCGUUGUUGUUGGAGGCCAUACAGGUAAACCUGAAUUUUACUGCUUCCGAUUGUUAUUCUGAUAUUAACCCUUCUUAUCCUUAGACUGCACAGAGCACCCCUAUGGAAAUACAACAAUCGGCAGCAACUCAACCAGCCAUCGGCGCGCCCCCGCUUUCAUCCGUUGAGGUAUAGUACUAUUUUACUGAUUUCCUUUGGUAUUUGCAUAAUGUACUUAUUCAAUCCUCUGACACAGGCCAUCGGCACACCAAGCGCUCCUCGACAACCGAUCUCUUCUCAGGGAGCUGGUCCAAGCACCGCGCCGAUUAUUGUGGAAUCUUCUUCAUCCGAUGAACCUAUGGCGCAGGCUCCUGAGCAAGGCGUGACGGCUUCACAAGUGCAGCAUGAGGAAAUUCGCUUCAAAAUGGUAAGUUUUGUUUCGGCUUCUAUCCAGCCGAUUUGCUUUUACUUCCAGCCGAUUUAUUUCUUUUCUUUAUUAUCUCCAGGAACAGGACACCCCCGACAACAGCCUCUUUUCUUUUGCGGUCGCCCUUUCCGACGACGAAGAGGUUGCCUCUCGCCAAGUUGCCUUGAGCUCCGUCCCUGAUGACAUCCGAGCCAAACUUUCCAGCAUCCGAUCCCUCCUUCAAGGGGACAUCGGUCGACUAGUAGAAGAUGCUUCAUCGAUUCGGCAGCUCUUCAAUGACAUCAGCGGACGAGUACCAGAAGAGGCGGAGGAAGCCCUGGCACCAGCGGCCUUCAUCGAGUCUAUGAGGAUCCCAGUCUUCAGGGCUCUUCGUCAUAUGGCCGAUCAUGCCAAGCUUGCCAAGACUCGUGAAGAGGAGGACGCGUUCAAGCGUCAGGCUCAAGAGGCACAUCGGCGCAUCCAUGUUCUGGAAGAUUCUCGCCCGGCGAUCAUCGGUGAGAUAGACCGCCUCAAGCGUCGGAGGGCGGAACUUGCCAAGGAGAUGGAGCAAGUGACUAAAGCAAUCAGUGCCGAAGAGAAAAAACUCCAAGAGCUACCUUCUGUCAUUGCCGAUUUGACACGGGAGAGGCAGCGCUUUGCUCAUGAGGCCCUAAAGCUCCAUUGCAGUACAUCAGAAGUCCCCGGAUCGGCAGAUGAAGACCAACGGGUUCUUGACUCUGCCGAUCAGAUCCGGCGCCGGGCUAUCACAGCUAUCGAUACCCUUCUGGGUAAUCUGUAAAACACUGACCGUUUGUCCGAACAUUUACUAUCUUCUUUGACCGUCCCUCGCGACGCCCUUUCUAUUUAUUACCUUUCUUAUUUCCGAUGGGACGUAGCCUUACCAAAUUUCCACGCAUCUUUUUCCAUAAAUACCGACCUCGGCACUUACUCCCGAUAGUACCAAUUUGGCUUUCGGUUUUACUCUCUCCUUCCUCUUACCGGUGCGACUUUCUGCCAUGGCUUCGUCGGCUUCUUCUUCCUCUGUUAACCAGGUGCAAUCUUGCCCUCUACCUCCCCCUCUUUUUAGAUCCUAGGAAAAGAAUGUCCCUUCUUAUUCCUUCUUUGUUUCAGCCUCAACGUCUUAGCCCUGCGCUCGUGCGCGCCAUUGAGCUCAUUCACUCUGAGGACCCAUUGACGUCGGAGGAUAAGGCGCUGAUCCUGGCCCAUCGUGAGGAACUUCGAGAUCACGUCACUGCGGAGGCUCGUGUGGUCUUGGAUCUCAUGGAGAGUGACAGUAGCCGACGAUCUCCAACCAUCAGGAGCCUUCAUUGUGGCGGCCUUGAAGACGAUGUUGCCACGGCGGCCCGUACGAUUUUGGACUUUAUGGAGAGCAAUGGUAGCCGGCGACCUCCCACCGAUAGGAGCCAUCCGCUUCCUCAGCAAGUCGUUCUCGAAGACGCAGCGGCAGGAACUUCGCGCCCUCCCAUGGAUCGGAGUCAUUUUCUCCCUCGUCAAGUUGAAGCGGAGACUUCAAUGAAGGCAAUAGAAGAAGAAUACCUUCACGUCAUGAGCGAGUUGGAGCGGAACGGGAAGGCGCCCAAGAAGAAGAACAAUUAGUUUUUUGUAUUUUUUGUUCUAAGGGCGACUAAUGUUUUGUCGGCCAUGUAACCCGCCGUCCGUACCGAAUGAAUGCAAUCGGCCGAUCCGGUCGACUAUGUGUUUGAACCGAUUUGUAUUGGCUAUGCGUUUGAACCAAUUUGUAUCGGCUAAGUGUUUGAACCGAUUUGUACCGGUUAUGUGUGGUCGUGUUAUGGUCAAUUUCCUACGCUCCGACCCAUAUACUGGGGUAGUAUCUUUUUAAGUACCUUCCGUUCAGAGCUCUAGUAAAUUCCUCUCCUUCUAUUGUUUCCAAAAUGUAAGCAUUUCCUGGGGCGCAUCUGCCGAUUUUGUACGGCCCUUCCCAUGUAGGGGACCAUUUUCCGAAUUUAGGAUCCUUCGACCCAAUCGGCAAUACUAACUUCCAUACUAAGUCCCCAGGGGAGAAUUGUUUGGCUUUGACCUUUUUAUCGUACCACCUGGCUACCCUCUUUUUAUUUUCUUCAAUGCUUAUCAGAGCCCUCAAUCGUUGGCCAGCCAAAUCGUCAAGUUCCCUUUUCAUAAGUGACGAGUAAUCAUCGGCCGUUAACUGGUCCUGGAGCGAAAUACGCCUUGAUCCCGCCCUUGACUCCCAUGGCAGUACCGCAUCGUGACCGUACACCAAUUGGUAGGGAGAUAACUUGGUAGCCCCAUGACAAGCCAUCCGGUACGCCCAUAAGGCCUCUGUCAAACAUAGAUGCCACUUCUUCGGUUGUUCCUCGACUUUUCUUUUGAUCAAUUUGAUUAUCCCUUUAUUGGAGGAUUCCGCCUGACCAUUGGCUUGGGCGUAGUAUGGAGAAGAAUUUAACAAUUUGAUUCCCAUAUUGGUCGUAAAUUCCUCAAAUUUCCCUGAUGUGAACAUUGUUCCUUGAUCGGUUGUUAUAGUCUGAGGGAUACCGAAUCGGUAAACGAUGUGGUCCCUUACGAAGUCAGCCAUGAUAGCCGAUGUCACGGUUCUCAACGGGAUAGCCUCUACCCAUUUGGUAAAGUAAUCAGUAGCCACCAGAAUAAAUUUGUGCCCUUUGCUUGAUGGUGGGUAAAUUUGGCCAAUAAGGUCUAUUCCCCAUCCCCUGAACGGCCAUGGCUUAAUGAUGGGAUUCAUGGCCGAUGCGGGUGCACGCUGGACAUUUCCAAACUUUUGGCACUCCUGACAGCCCUUAUAAUAUUUGAAACAGUCUUUGAGGAUCGUUGGCCAGUAGUACCCAUUAUUCCUGAUCAUCCACUUCAUCUUAUGCGCCGAUUGGUGUGCUCCACAUACCCCCUCAUGGAUUUCUCCCAUCAGCGUCUUGGCCUCCUCUGUCCCAAGGCAUUUGAGAAGAACUCCGUCGAUCGUUCGGUAGAAUAGGUCAUCUUCGAGCAGCACGUAUUUGGUGGCAUGAAAACGUACUCGUCGCUCCACCUUUUUAGACGGAUCCUUCAGGUAGUCGGCAAUUUCUUUACGCCAGUCAUCGGCCGUGAGCUCUAGAGCCAUAGUGCCUAGAAUUAGCCGAUACCCAGACGCAUGCUGGGCAAGUUUGUUGGCGUCUUCGUUGCGGUCUCUUGGGAUGUGCUCGAUUACUGCCGAUCGGAAUUCUUUUAAAAGCUGUAAGCAAUCUUCGUAAUAAUUUCUUAAUACGUCAUCUUUGCAUUCGGACCUUCCGGUCAGUUGAUCCACAAUAAGCAUAGAAUCUCCGAAGACUUCAACGGAAUCGGCCUUGACUUCUCUCAAUAGUUGUAAGCCUUUUAAUACAGCUCGGUACUCCGCUUGAUUGUUAGUAGCGGCGGUUUCUAUCGGCAGAGAAAAAUCAUAGCUUGCCCCCCGAGGCGAUAUGAGAACGAUGCCGAUUCCUGAUCCGACCCCACAUGAUGACCCGUCAAAAUAUAAUGUCCAAGGUGCCAGCUCUACGAGGGCAAUCUCCGGUCUGCAGUGCUGGGCGACGAAAUCGGUCAUGACUUGACCCUUGACGGCUUUUGCCGAUUCAUACCGCAGGUCAAACUCUGAUAAAGCUAAGAUCCAUUUGCCGAUUCGACCUUUCAAUAUCGGCAGUGAUAGCAUGUAUUUUACUACGUCAUCUUUGCAUACGACUACACAUUCUGCCGACAGUAGAUAGUGCCUGAGUUUGGUGCAUGAGAAGUAAAGACAUAGGCAUAAACGCUCCACCGGAGGAUAUCUUGUUUCAGCAUCCAGAAGUCUUCUACUGACAUAAUAAAUUACCCGCUCCUUGCCUUCAAACUCCUGGACUAGAGCCGAUCCAAUAGCUUUUUCAUCGGCUGAUAAGUAUAGUUUAAACGGCUUACCAGUUUGAGGGGGAACCAACACUGGUGGUGAGACCAAGUAUUGCUUGAUAUCUUCCAAUGCUUUGCGCUGCUCUUCUCCCCAUAUAAAUUCCUGGUCUGGCUUUAGCUUCAGAAGUGGCGUGAACGCCUGAAUCCGUCCAGAUAGAUUAGAUAUAAAUCUUCUGAUGAAAUUCACCUUGCCGAUUAGAGACUGCAGUUCGGUUUUGUUCUGUGGGGCCACGACUUUGUUGAUGGCCGCUAUGGUCUUCCGAUUGAUCUCUAUGCCUCGUUCGUGUACCAUGAAUCCUAAGAACUGUCCGGCGGAUACGCCGAAAGCACAUUUGUUGGGAUUCAUCUUAAGACCAUGUUUUUUGGUACACUCUAGCACUUUUCGCAAAUCGGCCAGAUGUUCUUCGUGACCUUUAGACUUGACCACGACAUCAUCGAUGUAGAUUUCUACCAGAAGGCCAAUGAGUUUGUGAAAUAUGUAAUUCAUAGCUCUCUGAUAUGUAGCGCCAGCGUUCUUCAAGCCGAAAGUCAUCACCACCCACUCGAACAAACCAAGGUGGCCUGGACAUCUGAAGGCCAUUUUGGGUAUAUCCUCUUCGGCCAUAAGUAUUUGAUUGUAUCCGGCGUUUCCGUCCAUGAAGCUAAUGAUUUUAUGCCCCGCGGCCGCGUCGAUCAGUACAUCGGCCGUUGGCAUGGGGUAACCAUCCAUCGGUGUGGCCUGAUUAAGAUUCCUGAAAUCAACGCAAACGCGUAGCUUCCCAUUUUUCUUGUAUACUGGUACGAUGUUAGAAAUCCACUCGGCAUAACGACAUUGCCGAAUAAAUUUUGCUUCGAUUAGCCGAGUUAUUUCAGCUUUUAUGUCUGGUAGAAUUUUAGGAUUGCAACGCCGUGCGGGUUGUUGGUACGGCCGAUACCCUGGUUUUAUGGGUAGCCGAUGUUCAACAAUGGAUCGGUCUAAACCGGGCAUCUCGUGAUACUCCCAAGCAAAACAAUCCUUAAAUUCCUUUAAUAAAUUUGUCAAUUUACACUUGUACUCUGGAUCUAAAUUUGCACUAAUAUAAGUCGGCCUUGGUUUGGUACCAUCGCCUAAAUCUAUCAUUUCCAAUGAAUCGGCCGACGUGAACCCAUGCCCUAGCUUCCCAUCUUCUCAGGCGAACUGAUCCAUCUAUUCUGAAUCUUCGGAGCCGACUGCUCGGAUCGGCUGUAGGCCAAAAUCGGUGACCUUCAGGAAAUCGAUCUCCCAUACUCUACCUGAUAUGCACCUGACGGUUUCGCAACUCCACUGCUGCGUGUCGGCUGCCGCAAUGCUGUAUGCGGAGUCGGCUUUGACCACCUCGAUGUUAUCGCCGACCCAUUGUACGAGGCACUGAUGCAUUGUUGACGGGAUGCAGCAGUUUGCGUGUAUCCAGUCUCGGCCAAGUAGCAUAUUGUAGGAUCCCUUGCCAUUAAUAAUAAAGAAGGUGGUAGGAAGGGUCUUACUGCCGAUGGUGAGGUCGACGCAGAGAGCACCGCGAGCGUUUGAUACCUUGCCCUUGAAGUCCUUGAGCAUCAUGUCUGUCUUGGUCAAGUCGUCGUCGCUUUUCCCAAGUUUCCGGAGUACGGCGUACGGCAUGAUGUUGACUGCAGCUCCUCCGUCUACCAUCAAUCUAGUGAGGGGACGGCCAUCAACAUGCCCCUUAAGGAACAGCGCCUUCAUAUGUUGUCGUUCGUCAUCUUCGGGCUUUUCGAACAUGGCCAUCAUUGGCUCCAGGGCCAACUGCGCUGUCUGUUCUUCUAUCGCCGAUACAUCCUGUUGAUCGGCGGGAGUCAUGAAUUCCAUCGGCAAAAUGAAAACCAUGCCGAUCUCGGCCGCCGAUUCGUCCCCCGCCGACUCGUCGUUCCCUUUAUCAUUUCUUUUGGGGCGCCACACCCGAGGCCUUCCUUCCUUCUUGUCUGUCACGCUUUCUUCUUCUUGCUGUUCCAAUUGGCGGAGACGUUGGAUUCUUUGUUUUUGAGACUUGGUCAAUCCGUCGGGACACCACCUGGGGUUUAUUGGUCUUCCCCUUGACCUGGCGCGUUCCCACUCCGGUUCGCGUCCUAACGGGUUUUCAUCUGUCACCCGAGCAUCGGCCAUCUCUUUGAGCCGGCUGUGAACGCUGGCUUUGUUGUCCGACUGGUCAUGCCGAUCAGUCCUGCCCCUCUGCCUAUCAUGGCGUCUAUCUUCCGAUCGAUCAUAUCGGUCACUUCUGCCCCCCAGCCGAUCACGCACGGGAGGGCGCUGGUCAUCUUGGUUGCGCCAAUUCUUGCUGGUCGGUUCUGGCCUUCCAUCUCUGGAGCGAGACCCUUUGAACGGCCGAUUGCCACGAUAAGGACCGUUGCAUUCUGGGCAAGUAUCGGCUGAAGGUAGCCUGAGGUUGUGUUCCCAACAGUGAAUGAAGAACGGGCAUCUCAAGUGCUCCUCGUGCCGACGCAUUGCUUCUUCUCGGGACCUUGAGCGUUCAUGCUGACGUUGGUACUUCUGGAGCAGGAACUGGGAAGUAAUGCGUGGCCCUUCUGACUCACCAUCGUCGUCCUCUAUCCGCCGCUUCCCCUUGACAUCUUCAGGAGUAGCUUGAUUUCUGGGAUCGACGGCGCCACUCUUUUUGGCUAAUUCGGACGUCAGCACUUUUGUUUGGAGUGAAUUCUUCCCUGUAUCAACCAUGUUGGUAGGAAAGGGGUGUUGGUCAAUCUUCAUUGGCUUGGCCGAUUUUGCCGGCACUUCAAAUUUAAGUCUGCCUUGCUCAAUGGCCGACUGUAUCUGCUGCCUGAAGAUUUUGCACUCGUUGGUAUCAUGGGAUGUGGCAUUGUGCCACUUGCAAUACUUCAUCUUUUUUAGUUGUUCGGCAGAAGGUAUUGUAUGGUACGGCGAGAGUUUAAUCUACCCUUCCUGGAGGAGAAGGUCGAAGAUUUUAUCGGGCCUUAGUUGUGUCAAAACCGAACACUUCCGGAUCCUUUUUGCCGAAUGGGCAUGAUAUCGGCUUCUUCCCUUUGAUCCACUCCGCAAGUCCGACUUCAACAUCUUCCUCAUCCUCUAACUCUUCCAGGAACGCCACUUUCUUUUGGAAAUUCCUCCGCGGAUCAAAAGGACGUACCUCCUGUCCAAACAAUCGGUGAACAAUCUGGCUCAGACUUUCGAACUCUUGUGAAGCGUAUCUUUCUUUGAUGUGGGGCAGAAGGCCUUGAAAAGCUAUAUCGGCCAACUGUGCAUCGGUUAGAGCCAGGGAGUAGCACUUGUUUCUGAUUUCCCGAAACCUCUGUAUGUACGAGGAUAUCGGCUCAUCACUCCUUUGCCUGAGGCUGGUCAAAUCGGACAGCUUCAUCUCAUGCACCCCGGCAUAGAAGUAUUUGUGGAACUGUCUUUCUAAAUCGGCCCAUGUGAUAAUCGAGUUUGGCGGCAAUGUCGUGAACCAUUGAAAGGCUGAACCAGACAGAGAUGACGAGAACAACCGUACCCGUAGGGCGUCUUGCGUAGCUGCUUCUUCGCAUUGGAUGAUGAAUCUAUUCACGUGCUCUACGGUCGAAGUAUCAUCCAUCCCCGAAAAUUUAGUGAAGUCAGGAACUUUAUACCGAUGGGGGAACGGCAAUAGGUCAUAUGUAGAUGGGUAUGGUGUUCUGUAGGUAUAAGUUUGCACUUUUGGCUUCAAGCCGAAUUGUUCUUGCAUCACCUCCGCAAUACGUGCCGACCAAUCUGGCUGUUGCUGGUGAACUGUUGGCUGAGGUAUCGGCACGUGCUGGUAAAUCGGAGGCUGAAUAAACGGAGGCUGAUGAAAAGGUGGUAUCUGAGUGUAAGCCGGCUGUGUAGUAAAGGCUGGCUGUUUGAAUGAGCCACUCGUUUCAUCGUACAGCAUGAUCUCUGCUGUCUUGUUGAUCCCCGGAGCGACAGGCUAGUAUGGCGGCACGGUUGGCCGAAUAGCAGCCUGGAAGGAUGUCUGGAAUGGAGAGUUCACUUGACUGGCCGAUUGAUUCUGACCGGCCGUGACCGAAGGUGCCCCCCAGGGUGAUGGGUGAAUUGGGCUAACUGGAGGGAAUGGCGCAGAGGACAGUUGGAUGGAGCCAUAUCCCAUUGGAGUUGAUGACGAGGAAGCACCUGAACUCCCGACAGAAAACUGGAUCGGCUGCGAGGCCGAAUUCGAACAAUUCUGGUUUGGUGGAAUCGGCUGAAAAUAUGCCGGUCCCCUGUAUCCUUGAGGUAUGCCCCCGGCGAAGGAGUUGACAACAGCGUUGUGCACCAUGUUUGAAAGCACCGGGGACUGGUCAAUGAAAGCGUGAUGAAUAGACUGUUGAAUCAUAUCGGACAUUUUAUCCGAAUCUUCAGAAAUCGUGAUCUGGCGGGGAGCAGGGAAUGGAGUCUUCUUGAUGGUCUCCCCGCUUCUGGAGCGACUGAAAGACUUCAGGCAAGCUUUCUGGAACUGUGCCGUAUACUUGUCCAGCUCUUCCUUCUGGUCGUCCUUCAGAUCUGCUUCCGUCACCUCGAUGACGUUAUCUUCGGAGACUUCAGCAGCUUUCGACAUGAUGGCGGUUGUAUUGGUCCCACCGGGCGUGCCAAAAGUGUGUUGGCGCUAGAAAUCGGUCAACCGAAUCCCAGCGACCGACACACGACCCGGGAGAAUCUGCUUAGCUCCUGUUCGGGUGAAUGCCCUGGUGCAGUUCGCGCGGCGUGCCAGCCAAUCUGACCUGUUGAUUGGCAAGGAAGAAUACGUGUCAGGUCCAGAAAUCACGAUCGGCUAAGUUUCCGAUCGAGAGAGUUUAUCAGCGAAUCGACCGAUUUACUGUAGUAAUGAAAUCGGCUAUAAGACAGCCUGAUCUCUGUAGCCUUGUAGACAGGGAAUUACUAAAGUAAUCGAUACAAAGCUAUGAUAACAACACUAGGAACAGAUCUAAUCGGCAAUAGAUGAAUUUAAUAACAGAAUAUAGAAAGAGCCGAAACUACCGAUUCCUAGCUGGAUAACUAGUGAUAAAGACUAGAAAAACAGGUAAAACCUAUGGAUCUAGCAAAUAUCGAUAACUAGUGAAUAAAUCUAAACGAAACAACAGUGAUACGCCCGAAGUUAAAGCUUAGAUAUUACUCGAUAAACGGAACUUACAGAAUCGGCCGGAGAUCAAGAUGAUGCAGCCCUGCCAACCCGCACGAACUCGUGAGAAGAGAAAAGUAAUGGCGAAGUCGCCUGCUUGAAAGUAAGUACGAAGAAAAAGUAGCUUGUUGUAUUGAUUGGUUGAUGAUUACAGAUUUACAAAGGUAGCUAUUUAUAGCCCCAUACAGAUAUCUUCUUAACCGACUAGAAUUCUAUCCCUAAUUCAAACAGAAAACGAAUAUCUACAAGCACGAUUCGUGCUAGGUUAGUUACUCCACGCUUCGUGGGCUGAUUUCCAGCUCACCCUUCUAUUCCAAGCCCAUACAGGCCCAAUUAACCCAUCCUCCUAAUCGGCCGAUUCCUCAUCGGCAAAAGGCUACCGAUUGGGACUCUGGUAUAUUCGACCCGAAACGAGACAGAAGUCACCGGCCGAUCUCACACUGUAGCACCACUUGGCCGAUUCCCAACUGUGCUCCUCCGAUUCCCUCUCUUCUUGGCGCCGAUUCUACUAGUGACGAAAUCUGGCGUCAACAGUAUAUAUAACCAUUCUUGUAUUGUUUCACGCCACCGUUACUACUACGUCCUAAUUAACGAAUCUUGAACUGUUAGCCCUCCGGAUGGACACAAGGGCAGAAGACCCGAGGUCGUACAAAGGUGAUGGAAGGGAGGCUUGUCAUCACGGAAGUGACAGAAGAGGGCAGGCCGGUUGCUCCCGAGAAAGUAGCAAAGAAGUAUAUGAGUCAGAUCGGGGCAAUCGUCCGGGACAACGUGCCUAUCAGCAUCAGAGAAUGGAAGGGCAGAAGCACUAAUCCGUACGCCCUUCCAGAGACAGAAAAGAAUAUGCUGUGGGAAGACGUGAAGAGACAUUUCACAUUCCCCGAAGGAUAUAGUGAGAAGGAUGUCAAAGCGUGGACGCUUAAGAAGAUGGCUACUCAAUUCCAGACAUUCAAGAAGAUGCUGGAUACCCACUACAUCAAGAAGGGCCGAACUCCAGACUUCAACGCGUGGCCAAAGUUGAGGGACCACUGGGAUGCAUUUGUUGAAUAUAAGAGGAGUGAAGAAGGUGUGAAAAAGAUCACGACCAACACAGCAAAUGCUAGUCAGAAGGGCUACCACCAUCAUUUGGGGCGAGGUGGGUAUGGCUCAGCAAUUCCCAAGUGGAGGAAGAUGGAACAAGAUCUGAUCGAACGGGGAAUCGUACCUGCAACUAUUGAAUGGCCCGAACGAUCAAAAAAUUGGUACUACGCUCAUGGAGGCUCCCUAAGCCAAGAGGAUGGGAUGUUGAAUAUUAAUGACACAAUACGUGAGAAGGCCGAACAUCUCAUGAAGAACAUUGAAGAUUCUAAGGCUGGGAGGUUGAAGGUGGACCGAGAAAAUGAUGAGCUCACAUUGGCCCUCGGUAAUCCAGAGCACCCAGGACGUUGCCGAGGGUUCGGGGUGGUUCCGUGGAAGUUCACUUUCCGAGGCGACAGCACCUCGUACAGAAGCCGGAAGCGAAGAAAGGAACAGAUCGAGGAGAGCUGGCGGCAGAUGCUAGAACAAAGAAUGAUGGAUGAAAUCAAUCGGCGGGUGGCCCACGCAGUUGCGGAGUUGGCCCAAUCUGGAGCAUUGCCGAAUCCUAACACCGCCAGCCCUUCUCAACGCCUCUUGAGCAGUUGUGCUUCUACAGGGGUCCCCGAUGCGCAGACGCCCAGGUUACCCGUGGAGGAGCAACGGUUCCCCGUGGAUGCCAUCACACAACGGACCUCAUGUGAGCUGCAUGCACCGGUAGGCAACCUCACUAUUAAGGUAUACUUAUACAUAAUAUUUAUGCAAUCUUGUCAAUUGAUCCAGGCCUCGAGAUCGGAGUUCAACUUGUUUACUUCUGCUAUAUGUACAGGUAGCGUACGGGAGUGCGUUAGCAACCCUGGCGGGGCAGAGCAGUCAUGGCAUGGAAAUUCCAACAGGCUACGCCAGCGUCUGCGUAGAGCAAAUAGUUGAUCCCCAGUAUGAAGGUCUAGAGCUCGACUUCCCGGGAGGCGACGGGGAAAAGACAUUGGCAGAUGCGCUUCAUGGGAUAAUUCUAUGGAAGAAAUGCUACAUCAUUAUUCCCGGCACGGAGCCAUCUCCUCAGACCUCAAGACCGCUCCCCGUAGAUCCCCAGCAGCGACCUUCUCCUCAUACCUCGAGACCGUCAUCUCCUGCUCCAGGACCGUCCCUUCCAUCUAUAUCAAGGUCUCCAUCUCCACCACAUCCUAGUGCUGGGAGCGACGACGACAAUAACAACACCCCUCCCCGAUCACCGUCGCCGGCACCAAGAGCGGCCCCCUUGAAGGAACAUGCACCACCACUAAAGAAGUCACGAGCACCGCCUCCCAAGCAAAGACAGAGAAAGAAGAAAACAAAGGAGCCUGAAGUGACUCGUAAGGAACGCUUUGAGGCAAUGUAUCAUGCAGAACAGUGGGCAGAAAUCCAACGAGAGGCCAGUGAGUGGUUCAAGAAACAAGCCGAAGAAAAAAAGGCAAGGGAGAUGGAGCCACCGCCAGUAAGUCGGCGAGAUUUAAACUUUUUUAUCAGGAUGGAAGAAGGAGCCAAGAAAAGGAUACCACUCUUGUCAAACUAUGAACGGGCUCUAGUAAAGGCUGAUGAAAAGGAUAAAAGGAAAGGAAAGUCAUCUUCCAGCGGUCCAGUCCCCGACCUCAGCCAUUUAUCAAAAAAAGAUGCUCAACAGGUAAAAGCAAUGCCCUUGGAUCAACAAGCAAAUGUAUUGAAGUUCAUGGAAGAAACAGGUCUGGGACUUGAUGAAUGCAUAGGGCAAGUUGAGACGCCAACUGCACCGCCCCCUGAGCCGAAGUGGCCUUAUGAGCUAGGAAAACCUCUAGUAAAGCCUUCAUUGGUACGGAAGCUAUCAACAAAGAUGUACGCAUUCCAUCAAUGGUACAUGAUGGCAUCCGUCGACUCGAGGGAGAUGAUCGGCAUGAAGGUAAAACCGAUAGAUUUUCACGGUGAAGGGGAGAAAGUGAUGUGGCUAGACUUCAAGGAUAUAUACGAAGUGUACCAUCAUGAUGCCCUGGACGUCUCUCUGAUCAGCGCUUGGAUUCUGUAAGUGUCCGUUUAUCUCUACAUGUAAAUUUUGGCGUACAUCACCGUACUAACUUCAUCUUCCAUUUCAUGUAGGAUGCUAAUUCAGACAUGCCGCCGAGAGGCGUACCUACAUAUAGGCUUCAUGGAUCCAUCUGUAGUUAACCAACAACAGAUACAAUUAGCGCCGGAAAAAACCUUUGCGGAAAUAUACAAUUUCCUAGACAAACAAACAUUCAAGGAUUUCAUACUACUUUCAUACAACUUCAAGUAAGUGUGUGUAUACCGUCUACUUUCGAUGUCUUUUUCCUUAUCUCUACAUGUUAGUUAGCUCUAAUAUGCAUGAACAUUUUACGCACGCAGCUUCCACUGGAUCCUUAUUAUAAUUGAGCCUGAAAGAAGCCACGUCACUGUCUUCGAUUCGUUAAGGAAAGAUCCGGUGGACUACCAAGAAUUGCAAAACAUGCUAGGCUUGUAAUAAUUCUGGACCUUUAUCUCUAUGCAAAAAUUUAUUUCCUAAAUUUUAUCCCUGUUACACUAUAUCAUUCAUUAUUCUAAUCCGCAGCGCAUGGAAACAAUUCAUAAGGACACACAAAGGUCCAUUCAAAGAAAAACUUACAUGGAACACAGACUUCCCGGUACGUAUGCAGUCUGCACAUUUAUUACAUUGUAUAACACGAAUAUUUCAUAACUUAUUUUUUUCCGCACUGAAGUGCUUAAGACAGGAACCCGGGAAUAAUCUAUGUGGCUACUACAUCUGUGAGCACAUGCACAGUUUUAUGGGACCCAAGGGACCGAAGAUGACGCCGCACAACUUUAAAGUACGUAAAAUAAAACUAUUACUAGUUAAUUAUUUUCUAGCUCCUUAUAUGUAUUUGUUCAUGUAACAUUCACAAAUUUCCAAAUUAUAGAUGUUAAAUAUUCAACAAGGACUCUUGAAGGAAGAAAGAGUAGCGGCAAUAUGUGAAGGUCUCAUUGGAUUCAUAAUGGACGAGGUGGUAAAUCCAAAAGGAGAAUUUUAUUAUGAUGGACGACAAUUAGACACUCCGAUCAGCAACACCACGACGGGAAGAUUGUAGGAAGAUACUUUGAUUUAUUUGUAUAUAUAAUACGCGCUAAUUAUGAUCGAUUUGUACUAAGCUAGUUGAAUUGUGUAUAUGAAUUGUGUAUAAGGAUUGUGUAUAUAUAUAGUAAUUGUAUAAUUACAAAUCCCAUUCGUUUAAAUACUAGUUGAUUUCGUUCUAAAAAAAUCUCAACUACUAAAGGUUAACAAAUUAAAAGGGCCGCGGUACUACGUAUACGUGAUGCAUGCAUGAAAAAUUCAGGCGUCACGGCAGUGCCAUGCAAGCGUCAUUUAGUCCCGGUUGGAAUCCAGCCGGGACUAAAGGGUAACCCUUUAGUCCCGGUUGGUGACACCAACCGGGACUAAAGGGGGACCUUUACUCCCAGUUAAAAGACCCAGGACUAAAGACCCCCCCUUUUGUCCCGGUUGGUUUAUCCCGGAUGGAUUUUCGAGAGAUAUGUACCCUACCAACCGGAACUAAAGGCCAAUAUUGGUAAGCUUUCAAACAACCUUCAAGUGCUAGGGUUAGGACAAACAACUUGUCAGGGAUAAUUCCCACCAGCUUUGGGAACCUUACUGGCUUAACAAAACUUUAACUUAGUUACAACAAUCUCAAUGGUCCAAUCUUAGAGUGGGUUGGAAAUAUGAAGGAUCUUGGAGCUAUAGUUCUUGAUGCAAAUAACUUCACUGGUUUGAUUCCGUCUUCUAUGAGUAAUCUUACAAAAUUGACUCUGCUCUCUCUUACAAAAUGAAUUCGAAGGUCCAAUAUCACCAUGUCUGGGAAGUCUGCCACUUCUUACAUAUUUGAACCUUAGUUAUAACAAUCUGCAGGGUAACAUUCCUAAGGAAAUAUUCCAUCCCGAGUCCUCAAUAACCACAUGCGUGUUAUCCUACAAUAAGUUAGAAGGUCCAAUUCCUCCAGAGAUUUCUAAUCUUUGACGACUGACGGAACUAUAUCUUUCAUCCAAUAAGCUUAGUGGGGAAAUUCCUUCAACCCUAGGAAAUUGCAAAGAGUUACAGAUCAUUGAAAUAGAUUGUAACUAUCUCCAGGGGAGCAUUCCGUUGACUUUUAAUGGUCUAAAGAGCAUGACCUUGCUAAAUCUUUGACACAACAAUUUGUCAGGCUUCAUCCCAACAAAACUGGGUGACUUACCAGCUGCAACAAAUUCCUCACCCAGCUGGAUCUAUCUUACAAUAAUCUGCAAGGCGAAGUACCCACAAAUGGAGUAUUUGGAAACGCCAAAUUUUUCUCACUUCUUGGCAACUAGGGACUUUCUGGAGGAGUGCGGGAUCUACAUAUGUGCCCAUGUGCUACAGUCAUGGAGCAAAGAAACACGAUACUACUACCUGAUCAGGUUACUCAUCCCGGCAUUUGGAAUCAUGUCACCCAUAAUGUUGAUCUAUGCUGUAAUCCCACAGAAAAAGAAGUCAACAACAAGGUACUCAUUGUUAUUUUAUUUUGGUAAGAAAUUCCCUAUAGUUUCUUACAAGGAUCUAGCUCAAGCUACAGAAAACUUCUCAGAGUUCAACCUGAUUGGGAGGGGUAGCUAUGGUUCAGUGUACAGAGGAAAGUUAACUCAAGCUAAAAUGCAAGUGGCUAUCAAGGUUUUUGAUCUUGAGAUGAGAUUUGCAUACAAAAGCUUUGUAUCAGAAUAAGAGGUCGGGUGGGCCGCAGCCCACUCUAAGAUUUGGUCCAAAGAACCCAACGUAAGAAAUCGGUGCUCGAUAGCCUAAGAGGGGGAGGGGUGAAUUAGGCAACUUAAAACCUUAACAUGUGGCUUCAACUACAAAGCAUCAAAAAAUAGACUAAAUCAUGCUAUGCAGAUAUGCAUCUAUGGUUGAUCUAGUGAAAACUUCCCACCCACGAAGAGUUUUACAACUUAGAGCCAAUCCUAUCAAGAUAUUACUCUAGAAUAUAAGAAAUGCAAAAAUGUAUAAAAGUGGGUUAGGAACGAUGCAAACUCGGGACGACGAUUUAUUCCGUAGUAUCGAUAGGAAAAUGACACCUCUAGUCCACUAGAGCUCCACCGAGGAUACGCUCCUGGACACCAAAUCUCUCUCGAUCAAGGUCUUGGACCCACCACAAAGGCUCUCACCAAGCCAGAUGAGAAGCUUGCCAUGAAGGAAAGCUAACCACUCCCUCUCUUCCAUUCACCAUGGCGCCGUCUUUACUACAUAGCUUCUCUAUGAAGGAAGGGUUCUCCCCGUCCCCCGCACACGAUCGUUGUUAUUGAUCCACAUCAAGCUGGAGAGUCGAAGACUUGCCAGCGAGCCACCAAAGGCCCGAGGCGCCAGCACACCAAGCUUACAAUGGUGGUUCACUCCUUGAACCAAUCACAAGGUAGCAACACCUUGAACUCACUCUCUCUAGAUGUAUCCUAGCACUAAUCACUCUCGAAGCAUGUGCUAAACCUUGUAUUAUCACUUUUUGCACUUUUGGUGGGAUGGAUGUGUUCUUGAUGAGUCUUGAUCUUGAAUGAACUCUUGGACACUACAGCAAUUUCAAAUGGGCGAGUAGAGGGGGUAUAAAUAGCCCAUGGACCUCAAAGACCCAUUGAUCCAACGACUAGUAAAAUCUGUGAGCAUCGGAUGAUCCCAUGGUCACUUUAGAUAGGCAUCGGAUCAUCCGGUGCCCCUUGCUAAUGCAUAUAGCCGUUGGACCCCCUGCCCAAAAUUACUCCGAUGCUUCAUCCAAUGGGCAUCGGAAUAUCCGAUGCUGAGGACUUUUUCACCUAAAACCUUCUGGAUGAUUUCAAAGUAAAUAUGUUUAGUCCGAUGCCUCCAACUUCUGACCAUCGGAACAUCCGGUACUAUAGGAUUUUCUCCAUCUUCUUUGCGCAUUGUUCCGACGCUUGUAAAAAGAACCUCGUCAUAUCAUUCGGUGCUUACUGCAACUCAAGCUGAUUUCUCAAUUGUACUAAUUGCUUAGAUGGUUGCUCUAGUGGACCGUCGGAUCAUCCGGUGCUUCAUAUUUUUCUGAGUUGAAUAUCGCAAUUUGCACACAAAAAUACCAUCACUUGGAUUUCUAUCAUUUAAACACUUUGAAUACCAUAGAAUGAUCCAGAUAUUUAUGAAUUGGACACUUGAAUAUCAUGAUUUGGACCUUUUGCCAUGAUUUAGUUUGCAUUCUUAGGAUCCAGAAAAUCUAAGGUACAUGCUAGUCAAAGCAUUAGUUUGUCACUCAGUCAUUAAAAUCACAAAUUAUAACCUAAUAGGACCAUGUUCCUUGCAAUCCAGCUCCUAGAUUUUCCCAUCCGCUGAGACGCUGACAGAGCCAGCCACGAAGCCAGCACCCACGACUCAUGGUAAUCAUGGUAAUAAAAAGGAUCAAGUUAAUGAUUUGAUCUAGUGGCUUGUCAAAUUUUUUGCAUUGUUGGACCACUCUAACUUGAAAUCCUAGAAAUUCUCACUAAAAUCAGAAACAUCAAAUAUUAAUCGUGCAAACUCUAAUAAUUAUAAUCAUUGAUCUAUAAUAUUUUAUAAAAGGUUACCUACCAAACAUAUUCUAAAAUAAACCCUAACCCUAUAUCUAAAUUAUCGAGCUCUGCAAUUAUAAAAAACUAAUCUAAAGUAACCUCCAUAAUCUUCGUCCAAUUUAUUUAUACAUAUCAUUAUAAAGUAUAACUUCAAAUGUUACUCUAAAUUUGUAUCUAAGUUACCCACGUCUAAAUUUGUAUCUAAGUUACCCACGUAUGUUCUUAUUAAAAUAAUCUAAAGUAAACACCUAAAUCUUAAUCUAAUUAUCUUCAUGUGUGUCAUUCAAAAAAGUCCAAAAGUAAACAUUAUGAGUGUUAUUAUUAAUAUAGAAAUACUAAGUUAAGGUAUAUACGCAUGAUGAGUGUCACCAUGUAGACAAUCUGUACAUGUAUGUGGAGAUGUGAUACAAAAUGAAAAAAAAGUGUGAAUGUGGAUAAAAAAUAUAUAGAGUAAUUAAUAAUUAAAAAUAAUCAUAAGACAUAAGUAUACAUAUCAAACGCCUGUCUCGAUCGCUUGGCUUCGUGCCGAAACCAGCUAGCUAAACAGUAAACACCUUUGCCGUCGGGGCUGGCUCCACAAGGUGGCAGUUGUCAGUUGUGCUGUUCGAUCUCCAUCCCACGCUGGCAGGUAGGACACCCGUGAGGCGAUGAAUCGUGACGCGAGCUUCGACGGGCCGCUAGCUUCGACGUACGAGUACAGCGAGCAGUGGCUGGAAUUUUGCAAUUCCUUCGGUUGGGUUGGGUGGUUUUGUGCGGGAUCGGCAAUGGUGACAACUGGACGAGCUGUUUGUGUUGGCUUUGUGCAAACUGCUCUCAAGUACAUUACAUUCAUCUUCUAAUGAUCAAUUUACUGAGUUUGCUGUCGAAGAUGGGCUAACUACUUGGUGAUGCAAUCACAACGCAUGCAAAAGAUGUGUUUCAACUUGCACAGCCACCACCUUGCUGAUGGUGAUUUAGCUAAGUUUCAACUUGAAAUUUCAAACUUCCGAAAAAAAUGCAGCAAGAUCGUAUCUAUGACGCUUGACUCUUUGCAGAAUACUUACAGUUAUCUGGUCCUCAAUUGGAAUAAAUUUUGUUUGCAUAAAAAGUAAAGUGCCACAUUUUCACCUUCAUAGAACUAAUUGUCUCACUAGAUAUUUCUCCAAUUAAUAAUCAACAUUGUACGAGACCCCUACGAAGCACGGCAUUGUAUAGACUAUUCUUGUCGAGAUCGGAUACAUAAAAGUUGACUUGACGCGCUACCCGUUCAAAGAUAACCCAUGAACGAAUCAUGGCCACACGAUACAUUCUGGAAGCGCGAUCAUUACAAAGAUCCAAAUCGGAUUUGAAAACGAAAAUCCAGCGCCGGUAGACCAUUCCACGAGCUGAAUUUUAUCGUCAUCGAAACCGCACUAGACAUGUAGCACGCAUCAGCCCGGAAUAUCUCUGUCCAUUUCCUGCAGAAAAGUACCCUGCGAUUCGAGGCUGGACACGCCGCAACAAUCUUGUCCAGCUCAGACAGUGACGGCCGCACUGUUGAGAAGAUCGAAGCUGUGAAGUGGCGAUAACCGGCGAGUUUGACGGACUCGGGGUCUUCGCUCCAACGCCGUCAAGCUAAGAUAAGAUAUGAUGAUGAUGCAAGUGUGUGGAUUGUAAUACCGCUGUAAGACUGUUUUUAAACCCCUGGGGCCUGAGACAGUUGUGCAUCCAACUUAAGCACUAGUGGUCUCCGUUUCAGCCAUUCCUGAGACCAUCCAAACAGUUAGGUCAGGCAUAAGAGGACAUCAAACGCCUGCCUGGAUCGCUUGGCUCCAUGCCGAAACCAGCUAGCUAAACAGUAAACACCUUUGGCGUCGUCGAUCGGGGGCUCACCCCUGCACAAAUACGGCAGUGCUGUUCGAUCUCCAUCCCACGCUGGCCGGACGCCCGUGAGGCGAUGAGUCGUGUCGAAAGCUUCGUGGAUCGGGCCGCUAGCUCCAGUUUUUCAGACGAGUGGCACGCUCACGUGUGCACGUACGAGUACAGCGAGCAGCGGCUGGAAUUUUGCAAUUCCUUCGGUUGGGUUGGGUGGUUUUGUGCGGGAUCGGCAAUGGCGACAACUGGAUGAGAGCGGUUUAUGUUGGCUUUGUGGGAACUGCUCUCAAGUGCAUUACAUUCAUCUUCUAAAGUAGCUAACCCAUCUUUGUGCUGGCUAAUUUUCAAGUACUUCACAGCCAACCACCUUGCUGAUGGUGAUUUCGCAGAGUUUGAACUUGAAAUUUCAAACUUGGAAAAAAAUACACGAAGAUCAUAUAUAUGAUUGUUUCCAGAAUAUCAUGCAGUUAUCUCGUCCUCAAAUGAACCAUUUUUUACAAAAAAGGACUUUAUCCUACAAUUACUACCAACUUAAAAAAAGGACUUCAUGUUACUAUUAUUAAUUGGAGGGUGGACACUCUAGAAAAACAAAGAAAUCUUAGAAAUUCUCACAAAAAGUCAAAAUAUCUAGCCAUCAAUCAGUAUGCUCAAAUCAUCAUAGCCAUUGGAUCUAUUUAUGUUUUCUAAAAAAUUACCCAUGUAUGCCAUUAUGAAAAUAGCCUAAAGUAACCCCCUAAAUCCAUGUAUAAAUUACCCACCUCUUCCAUCAUAUAAAAUAAACUAAAUAACCCCCUAAGCUUCAUUUAAAUUACCCACUUAUACCAUUAUAAACAAUGUUUCAAAUAACCCCCUAAAUUUUCAACUAAAUUGCCCACCACUAAUACUUAAAAAAUAACUUAGAGUAACCCUUAAAUUUGCAUGUAUAUUACUCACAUAUGACAUUAUUAAAAAUAACAUGAGGUAACCCUACUUUUGAAUCCAAAUCACCUUAAUUAAAAAUAUAUACCAAAUAUAUGAUUCUAAAUCAUUUAUUUCUUACACUUUGGUAUAUGAUAUAAUAAUUAAGGUAACCCUACUUUCGAAUCCAAAUCACCUUAAUUGAAAUAUAUACCAAUAUAUGAUUCUAACUCAUUUAGUUUUUAUGCUAUUGAUAUAUGAUAUAAUAAUUAAGGUAUAUACAUGUGAUGUGUGUGACCAUUUAUGAAGAUAUAGAGGAAAUGAUGAGAAUAUAGAUUUAUAUGUUAAAUUUGCAACUAAAUUUCCCACCACUAAUAGUGAAAAAAUAACUUAAAAAUAAAUUAAAGUGACCCCUUAAAUUUGCAUCUAUAUUACCCACAUAUGUCAUUAUUAAAAAAUAACAUGAGGUAACCCUACUUUUGAAUCCAAAUCACCUUAAUUACAAAUAUAUACUAAUAUAUGAUUCUAAAUUAUUUAUUUUUUACACUAUUGAUAUAUGAUAUAAUAAUUAAGGUAUAUACGCAUGAUGUGUGUCACCAUUUAUAUAAAUAUAGAGGAAGUGAUGACAACUUAUGGUCGGUAUGUGUCAUCGGUACGCGGUUGAGUUAACAUUAUGGCUUAAACUUAUGAUCCAUAGAUAAAUUCAAGCACAUACCGACGAUGCAAAUUGAAAAGUUAAUAAUUAUAAAUGUGGAUGAAAUAUUAUAGAGUAAUUACUAACUAAAAUCUAUCACAAUUAGAUGAAGAUAAUAAGUAUAUAUCUAUAUAAGCAUUGUGUUAGGAUAUUUAACAAAUGAGAGGUAGCUUAAGGUAAUAGUUUCGUAACAAUGGGGCUACAUUUUUUCCAUUGGAGAUUCCGCAUUAGUUCUCACGAGACACGCUAGGAAAAAAUCCUAGAAAUUCUCACUAAAAUCAAAAACAUCAAACAUCAAUCGUGUAAACUCUAAUAAUCAUAGUCAUUGGUCUAUAAUAUUUUAUAAAAGGUUACCUACCAAACAUAUUCUAAAAUAAACUCUAAUCCUAUAUCUAAAUUAUCGAGCUCUGUAAUUAUUAAAAACUAAUCUUAAGUAACCCCAUAAUCUUCAUCCAAUUUACUUAUGCAUAUCAUGAUAAAGUAUAACUUAAAAUGUUACUCUAAAUUUGUAUCUAAGUUACCCACGUAUGUUCUUAUUAAAAUAACCUAAAGUAAAUACCUAAAUCUUAAUCUAAUUAUCUUCAUGUGCAUCAUUCAAAAAAGUCCAAAAGUAAACAUGAUGAGUGUCAUUGUUAAUAUAGAAAUAUUAAGUUAAGGUAUAUACGCACGAUGAGUGUCACCAUGUAGACAAUCUUUACAUGUAUGUGGAGAUGCGAUACAAAAUGAACAAAAAAGUGUGAAUGUAGAUAAAAAGUGUAUAGAGUAAUUAAUAAUUAAAAAUAAUGAUAAGACAAAGAUAAGUAUACAUGUAUAUAAGAGUUAUGUUGAAAUAUUGAAAAAACUAAGAGAGUAGUAGGUAAACAAUUUCGAUUAUUAAUUAGGAGCUCAAUUUUUAAAUAAUUUUCAAAUAUGAUAAUUUUUUUAAAAUAUUAUCCCGUGCAGGAGCACGGGUUGAUGGACUAGGACAACUAAGGCUGAUCACUAGAUAUUUCUCCAAUUGAAACGGUGUUCAACAUCUGCAAAACCCUGCAAAGCACGGCAUUGUACAGACUAUUUUUAUCCAGAUUGGAUACAAAUUGACUUGACCAGCUCGCUACCCUAUCAAAGAUAACCUAUGAACGAAUCAUGCACACACACAUACAUUCUGGAAGCGCCAUCAUCACAAAGGUCCAAAUCGGAUCUGGAAUCGAAAAUCCAGCACCGUAGACCAUUCCUCGAGCUGAAUUUUAUCAUCAUCGAAACCACACGAGACGUCGCACAUCAGCCUGGAAUAUCUCUGUCCGGUUCUGAUGAAAAGUACUUUGGGAUUCGAGGCUGGACACGCCGCUACAAUCUUUGUCCAGCUCAGACGGCGACGCCGGCGCUGGGAGAGAAGAUGGAAACUGAAAAGUGGCAGUAACUGGCGAGUUUGACGGACUCAGGGUCUUCGCCCAACGGCGGUCAAGCUGAGAUAAGGUGUCUCAAUACGAGUGUGUGGAUGAUAACGGUGACGUAAAACUGCUUUUUAAACCCCUGGGGCCUCAGCCAGUUGAGCAUCCAGCUCAUAAUUCCAGUUCAAACACCCACUAGCAAGCAAAUAGAAGCAGAUUAGAAAGGCUGACGCACAGCAGAGGUACCAUACUCUCUCCCUCCCUUCCCUCCCUCCUGAUGGUUUUAACUAUCCUCUUUAUGCUGUUACCUUUUUAAGAUGGUUUUAGCUAGUUACUUGCUGCAACUCUGUAUGGUUUCUCAAAACUAGUACCCCUCCGUAGGUCAUUUUAAGUUUUUUUAUUUUUAUAGAUAUUAUCUAUGAAUUAUCUAUGAACAUAAAAAAUCAAAACCAUCUAUAAUUUGAAACGAAGGGAGUACUUCUUAGAAUUAGCUCUGGUUACAGCAUGAGCUUACGCUGCGUAAUUCAUCUAGUAGUACUUUAUACGCUGCCAAGUUUAUGCUUUAAUUUUGCAGGUGACAAUUAAUAUGCUCCUCAUGCGUCACUCGAUGUUGCUGGCGAAACUCGCCGUGCUUAUCGUAUUGCCUUUUUUGCUGCUGUGUUAUGGAGUUGGCAACGUUUACUGCUCGACAAUUCAUGAGAAUAGAGAAGAUCUGCGCUCAUUGCUCGACUUUAAGAAGCGGAUCAGUUCUGAUCCAAAUGGAGCCUUGAUGAGCAAUUGGACAACCAACACCCAUUUCUGCCAGUGGAAUGGUGUUAACUGCACUUCCACACCACCAUAUCGCGUCAGAGAGCUCAUCCUCACCGGGCUAAACUUGGGUGGCGAAAUAUCCUCCUCUCUUGGAAAUCUGACCUCCCUUAAUUAUCUUGAUCUAUCCAAUAAUAGCUUUCAUGGUCCCAUACCUCUUCUUAACAAACUCCAAAACCUAGAGUACCUUUUAUUAGGAAGCAACCUUUUGCAAGGUGUUAUUCCCGACGCACUUACAAAUUGUUCUAAUUUAGUUACACUAGAUCUCUCUGGAAACAACCUCAACGGUCUCAUUCCUCCUAGAAUAAGCUUUCUUACCAAACUAGCAUAUAUCAAACUUUACAGUAAUCAUGUCACUGGGGAGAUACCAGCAUCCCUCAGAAACAUCACAAAUUUACAACUAGUCCAUUUUUCAAAAAAUCAGCUCAAUGGUAGAAUUCCCGACGAGGUUAUGCAAAUGCCAAACUUAAUGGAGUUGCACCUAAACCAAAAUAACCUAUCAGGUAGUAUUCCUGAGGUUUGGCAAAUGCCAAAUAUAUUGGUAUUAGACCUAAGCGUAAAUAACCUUUCAGGUCGAAUCCCACGAGCUCUAUCUAAUGUAUCUUCUCUUCAGGGAUUGUCCUUGGCAUCAAAUAUGCUAGGCAGUACAUUACCAUCUAACAUUGGAGAUGCUCUACCGAAUCUCACGAUUCUAUACUUGGGUGAGAACUAUUUCGAGGGUCACAUUCCAGCUUCCCUAGGAAAUCCUCCAGGUCUAGGAGUCAUAGAUCUCUCAUCGAAUUAUUUUACCGGCCAAAUCCCAAAUUCUUUGGGAAACCUUUCACAGCUGUCUUCUCUUAACCUUGAUCAAAACAUGCUUCAAUCAACAGACAAUGAAGGUUGGGAAUUCAUCCAUGCCCUGGGAAAGUGUAGAUCUCUAAAAAAACUUUCAUUGUCUAUUAAUAGGCUACAGGGAGCCAUACCAAAUUCUAUUGUAAACCUGUCCAGCACUCUUACAUAUCUGCUAAUGUCUGAAAACAAUCUAUCAGGAACAGUUCCCCCACGUAUUGGAAGAUUUAGUUCCUUAGUUCAACUAUCACUAGAUCAAAACUAUCUUACCGGUACAAUUGAAGAAUGGGUCGGAAAUAUGACAAAACUAGAACGUUUGAAUCUCCGAUCAAACAGCUUCGUCGGGAUAAUUCCAC
rnacentral:lncRNA from 1 species